rnacentral:lncRNA from 1 species
GCAGCUUCCCCUUAGUCUCUUUCAAAAUGUUAAUAUGAAGUGCUAAAGAGUAAAUUAAAAUCUUAUUAAAACUUCAAUACGAAAAAUGAUUUUCCUAGCUUAUUUUUCAUAAAGGUAUUCACACUUAUUAUAAAAUAUUAAAAAAUAUUCUCUAUAUUUUUAAUUAUUACUUAAAAUACUCUAUAAAAAACUAAACAGCUAAAAAUUAUUUUUUAAAAUAAUUUGUUUAAAUAUCAAAUUUUUUUAAAAAUUUAUUUUUUAUUACAAAAAAAAAAUUGAGGUAAAUUCAUUUGAAUAAUUUUUGUUUUUUGACUGAAUAGAAAAAAAUCAAAUAAUUAAAAGUAAUCUGUUAAUAUCAACCAAAUAAUUACAUGUGUUUUUGUUUUUAAAAAUAGAAAAUAAACAAUAAUUUUUAUAUAGAAUAUAUGAACUUAUUUUAUGUCCUUAAGAUUAAUUUUUAUAUCCAGUAGAUUUUUUUUAAUAUAUUUUUUGAAACAUACUUUUAAAGUCAUUACCUUUUUAAGAUACAAAAAUUCUUCUAUUUUAAAGAGGAAUUAUCAUCAUUUUCUAUUUUUAAAAAUAUAAAAAAAAUUAUAUUUAAACGUACACUCACUUCCCAAACAUGAUUUUGAGAUGAAAUAAAAUUAUUAUGAUUAUUCAUAUGAUUUAUAACAAAUAGAAUAUGUUAUAUUUGUGUAGUAUAUUGACCAAUGUUAACCUUUUUAUUUAUAUAGAAAUGCAAAUUCAAAUUUUAUAUAUAAACACAUGAAGAUUAUUGUGCAUUUACAUUUGAUGUGAAUUUCUACUUCAUAUAUAAAAUUUUAUUUUGAAGUAAUAUUAAUCCAAAACUUAUACCAAAAUGUUUAUGAUGACAAUAGGGCGGGUUGGGGAUGGAUUGACCCUAUCCAACUCUAUCAUGUUUAUUCAAAAUAUUUUUCAUCCUCGUCCCAUUAAAAAAAUAGGUAAAUAAAAUUAAAGGGAUGGGCGGGGCAUUUUUUUUUUAAUUACAUUGAAAUAAAUAUAUAUAUAUUUUAUAAAUAAUUAAAAUAUUAUAUAUAUAUAUAUAUAUGAAAAAUAAAAAUUAAAUUAAAUUAUUUUUUGAAAUUAAAUUUUACAUGUAAUCAGGACGGGGCAAGGUAAGACAAUACCUACACCUACCUGAAAAAACUUGCCUAAUUGUCAUCUCUAAAAAUGUUAAAACAAUCCAUUUAUAAAAAUAUAUAUAUAUAUAUUAAUUUGGAAUAAAGAUGAAGCUUUUGCAUCAACUUGAAUAAUUUCAAGAAAUAGAUAAAGAUUAUUAUGAAUUUACAUUUAAUGUGAAUUUUAAAAAAGAUGAAAAGAUGGAAAAUUGUAAAUAGCAUUUAUUUUGGUUUGUACCAAGAUGGAAAAGCUCAAACACCAUGAUUUAUGAAAAGGGUAUUUCAUACAUUUUUUUUUUAUACUUUUUUUCUCAUAUAUAUAUAUUUUAAUUUAAUACCAAUUUAAUAUAUAAAUUUAUAUUUUAAAUCAAGAUUGAUCUAAAACUAUACUCAAAUUUUAAAUAAUCCAUUUUAGAAAGAUUUUUUUUUUUAUAUAAAAAUGUAUUUUUAUUAGUAAAAAAAUUAAAUUGGGUUUUUAUUUUUUUUAAAUAAAAAAAUGUGAAGAGAAAUGGGGUGUGAAAAAAGCAAACUUAAACUGGGCCAUGGGCCUUAAGCCCAGAUGCGGCCCACAAACAACCGAACAUAGAAAGUUAUGCUAUAUUUGUCCUCUGUGCUGCAAUUCAGUCUAUUCAGACACCGCCACCCGGAUUUUCUGUGAAUUCCACCAGCCUUUUCUGGUUUUGGGUUUUCAUCAGUUUCGCUUCUCUAGUCCUCUCUUUUGCAAGAUUCCUUUGAAUUAUCCGCCAAAUAUAUACAAUUUUCCCUUUGUAAUUCAACAUUUCUACCACAUUGGCGCCCAUAGUCUACCCUUCUGUUCUUGAUUGAAUAAUUAUUAUUAUUAUUUGUGUUUUUGUUUUAAUUUUGAAAUUUGGUGACUUUUCCUUGAAACGAAUCGAUUUUGGAGAGUUGGGUUUCUGUUUUUCCUUGAUGGGUACUGCUUGUGCUCAGUACCCGUUUGAAGUGACUGCCCAUUUCCAAGAAAAAUGUAGGGUUUUACAUCCGAAAACGAAGUUCUCAAGCUUUAAUUUUCCUCCCAAAUUGGAUUCUUCGAGAAUGAACUUAUACCCAUGUUCAUCUUCCACCACCUCCUCCAAGGUAUUCAUAAUUUUCCCUCUGUUUCCUGUCAUUUCUAUUCACAUCAGCAAAUGUGAUGAAGGCCUUUGUAUUGAAAAGUGGCUGACUAAUCAUCUGGAAAUUAUUGAUCAUAAAUGUAUAGGAGGAUAUUAGCACUGUUAGAAUUCAUCAGCAAUGACUGCUUAUUUUGAUUUUGAUUUUUCUUAUUGUUGUAGCUUGCUUAUUUUGGUAUAUACUAUAUUCUGACAUGAAAAAAAAAAUCUUCUUAUUAAACUGCCAAAUUAGUUUUCAUCGUGAGAAGCCUGUUGAGUUGGUAAUCAUGGUGAAAAUUUUCCAUGGUGUUCAAACUAUUUUUCUUGAGAUAUAUGAAUUUGGUUAGGGAGGGGGGUUAUUGGGAAGAUAUUUGGGAUCUUCCAAUUAAUUUUUUGGUGUUGGAAUUGUUGUUCCAAAUUGAUUUGUCCCCUUAAUGAAUUGGAAGACACCAAAGAUGUUUUUUGUGAUAAGGAAGGGUGAUGUUUAAAUUUAAGUAGUACUACAAUAGACGUAGUGGCUGUACCAGCUUAAUUGAUAGUAAUCUUUUAUUGCAUGAUUCCAUUCCCCUAGAAAGAUUCUUGAAAAGAGCAGGGAAGGGGCGUGUUUAAAUUUAAGUCCAAUACAUGGAAGUGGAUUUUUAGAGGAUAUGCCAGAAAUUAGGAAAUGGAACGAUAAGAUGUUUCUUUCUUCAAUCACCAAAAGUAGUUUUGGGAAAAGAAAAGAUACAAAAAUCCAUGUCUUGUUUCCUUUUCUCCAUCUGCAUCAUUAAGUAGGUAGCAUGGUUGCUUCUGUAGAGGAUUCGGGUCAGUCUCAACACAUGUUGGACACGCUUUGGAUAUCGGAUAUAUCUAGAAUCUGAAAUAAUUAUUUUUUAACAGGCACAUGUUCUGCGUGGACCUAGGUUUGACACAGUGGACAUACAGGGUGUCACGACACAGCAAUUUUUUUAUCCACUGCAGCCAUCUUUAGUUUUUUAGAUUUUAUUGUAUCUCCUAUAGUUCACACAUACUCUGAUCUUAUCAAGUGAACUUUUCAUAAGCAAACCAAAUGUACUAAGAAAGAUCUUUUUGAGUCGACCAUUCGGUUCAUCGAGAUAAACCUUUUCCAUUGGUUAUGGAUGAAUUGGUUGUCUUCAAGGAAAGUUUCCAUCUUUCCCUGGUGUAUGUUGGAUUUCAGAUGGCAUGGUUUUAGUUGAUCAAAUUAGAAUAGGUGUGACCACUAAGCUAGACCUAUUGGAAGAUGCUUACAGAAAAAAUUCUGGAAUAGUUAGAAAUAAAACUUAAUAUAUGGAGUUUUUUUUUUGUAAAACUGGGAGUAGAAGCAAGGAAAUGAGACUGACGACUAAGAGAUGAUAGGGAAUGGCCAUGUUUGGUAUCUCUUGGUUUGAUCAUCUAUUAGGGGGAGUUGGAUGGUGAAGUAGAGUGCUUAAAGUCAAAAAUCAAGGUAUGAAACCUAGAAUGCCCUGACUUGAUAUUUUGGUAUUAAAUGUCCUUGAAUUUCAAAUGUUUUUGCUUCCAGAGUGUUAAAAGUUUGAGUCAGCCCAAGCAUCCCACAUGACUUGCUUCCAUUUUACCCAGCAUAUUCAUUUGAAAAUGAUCUUGAUUGUCAAUUCAAUGCUCUGUUUUGUAUAACACUUUAAUGGGAUUUUAUGUGAAUGGUUGAGAACCUUUCUUUCUGAUUCUGAAUAAAGCCAAUUUUGAAGCUCUUCAACCAUGUAAUGAAAAAACCUAGUCAUGGAAAUAACAAGGCUUGCAAGGGUUGAUCUAUGAUUCUACAUCAUGUCUCAUGAAAGAAAUAUUUGUGCUCCUCUCUUUUAUCUGCAUUUUAUGAAUCUCGAUUGUUGAAAGUCCUUAAGCUUGUGGUUGAAUACUCUUAAUAAUCAGUUGUUUAAUGGGUGUGUAAAUACGAUUUUUCCUGAUGCAGAGGUAUGUUGGUCAAAUAUGUUCUCUACCUGAGUUUGGUGAUUUCUUCUGGGACAGAAUCCCAACCCCCAUGCUUGACAUGGUCGAAAGCCCUAUGUGCUUGAAGAAUUUGACUCCUAAGGUCAAAUUAUGAGCUUUCCCAUAUUAUUUUUUUCCUUCUUGAAUUUUAUACUCAUUGUGCAUUUUGUAGUGACAUUUUCUCUAUUAACUGGGUCUGUGCAGGAGCUGAAACAAUUAGCUGAUGAAAUCCGUGUAGAGUUGUUUUGUAUAAUGUCAAAAAUGCAAAAACCUUUUAAAGCCAGUCUGGCAGUGGUGGAGCUGACUGUUGCAAUUCACUACAUUUUCCAUGCUCCAAUGGACAAGAUACUUUGGGAUGUGGGGGAAGUGGUAAGAUUUUAAUUAAUACCUCUCUAUAUUAGGACUUCAGUCCAAGUUGGCUUGAUAUAUAUAUUGUUAGCCCAUUAGGUGACAACUUAAGCUUUUGGGUUAAUUGGUAGCUUAACAUGGUUUCAAAGUCUUGGUUUAUGGGGGAGGUCAAGAGUUUGAACCUCACCAAUGUUUAUUUCCCCCUUUUUUUACUUUUGAGGUGGGGUGUUAGGUUUAAUAAACAUUGUUGGCUCAUUACCUAAUAACUUAAACUUUUGGUUCAGUUUGUAGCUUAACACUUGGAUCACCAUGACUGUCUCUACUGAAAAUUUAAUCUGUAGCAGAUUAAUUCCUUCUAUGUAUUGCAACAGACAUAUGCACAUAAAAUUCUCACUGGAAGGCGGGCCCUUAUGCAUACACUGAGAGAAAGGGGUGGUCUUUCAGGUUUUACAUCUCGUUCUGAGAGUGAAUAUGACCCAUUUGGUGCAGGGCAUGGAUGCAGCAGUAUUUCUGCUGGGCUUGGUAGGAUUUCUCUAUUUUUCCUUCUUAUUUGGCCAUUACUUUGGGAAAAAUGACCAGUUUUGAGAACUCAUGCUUGCUUUCCUCGAAAAAAUUUCCUUGCUUUGUAAUUUACAGUCGCACAUCAUCUGCACACUUUCUAUCUAUGUACAUUUCUAGUCAUAAUUUAUUAUAAUUACUUGCAUAUGAGUUGGAUGAUUUGAUUUUUCAGAUCAUUUAUUACUGGCUCCAAUUGAAAAUUUAGAAAAAUUUUCCUGGCUGUGUUUCACUUCCAUCUUUAGGCCUGAGAAAUGAAUUUUCUAGCAUAGUUAACUGUUCUCAUUUCAGGCAUGGCGGUUGCUCGAGAUUUGAAAGGGAAACGGGAACGUAUAGUUACGGUGAUUGGCAAUGGAACAACUAUGGCUGGUCAGGUUUAUGAGGCAAUGGGCAAUGCAGGUUAUUUGGACACAAAUAUGGUAGUAAUAUUAAAUGACAGUCGUCAUUCUUUACACCCAAAGCUCGAGGAUGGUCAGGCUACACCAAUUAACGCUUUAUCUAGUACUCUAACCAAGCUCCAGUCAAGUAAAUCCUUCCGAAAAUUUAGAGAAGCUGCUAAGGUAUGCAUUCCUCUGACAUUCCUUCCGAUUAGAUCAAGUAAAUCUAUUUGGUGCUGUCUUUUCGAGAAUAAGGGUAAAUUGUUGGACAUGGAAUGACUCUAGCAUGAUUAUAGGCUUUUUUUGGGAUGUGCAUGGUGUUUGUGGUUGUAAGAUCUUGGUAUCUGAUCAACAGGACACUCACUGGGUAGCAUUCCACAGAUUGUUGUGUCGAGUUAGUUUCAUAAGAACAAUUUGGUAUUCUGGAAUAUUCACCACUGACAAUAAUUUUUUUUAAUAGUUAAACUUUUUAAUUUUUUGGUCACCACUGGAACUCAAACUUGGAACCUCCCAUAAUCCACCCCUACCUCUUACCACUUGAGGCAAGCCUCAAGGGGAGGCACUAGCAAAAAUUAGGAUUUGAGAAAAUAUUGGGAAGUAAACACAAACUUUCAGGACUUCAGAACUGAUUUGCUGAUUCUGGAUUUAAAGGAUAAUUCCAUAAAUUGUUUUAUUGUAAGUCAUGAAUUCAUGUUACAUCAGCUGCAAGAGGCACUUGUGUAUAAUUUGGGUUCUAUUCAAAAUUUUAAAGAAUUCUGGUACAGUGAUCGGCCUGAUCUAAUUUUAUCUAUUGUGUUCUUUACAUGUGUUAUUUGUAUCAUGAACUGGCUGCUAAAGUACAUGUGUUCAUUACCAUAAUAUUCUUGGCUUCUGUUUUCAGGGUGUUACCAAGAGAAUUGGUAAGGGCAUGCAUGAGCUGGCUGCUAAAGUAGAUGAGUAUGCCCGUGGUAUGGUGGGUCCACUGGGAGCAACACUCUUUGAAGAGCUUGGUCUAUAUUAUAUUGGCCCUGUUGAUGGACACAACAUUGAAGAUCUCAUUUCUGUUUUACAAGGGGUGGCAUCUUUGGAUCCAACUGGUCCUGUGUUGGUUCAUGUAAUAACAAAGGAAUACCAGGGAGUAGAAGCUAGCCAAAAGAGUAUGAUUUCAAAUGGACAUCUGAAAGGUAUGUUCACUACUAUUUUCCCCUUUUUCCUCUGAUCUUUAUUCCUUUCUUGAGACUUCCACUGAAACCCUUGAAAACUUGGAUAUUGACUGAAAUCUAAAUGAAUCAAGCUUGGUCUAGCUCAGUUUGGUCUAAUGUGUCUGGACUGGAGAUAUGACAAGCCUAAGAAACAGAGCUCAGGCAUAGUUUACAAAGUUAGCAAGUUUGCUUCACUGGGCUCUCCUAGUGAAGCUCUCCUAAACACCUCCAUCUUCCCCUAUCCAUAUGAAUUGUCACCAUUAAACUGUUGUAUGGGUGGUUUUCAGUUAUUUAAUUAUUUAGAAUUCAAGGAAGGAACCACAUCUUAGUUUGCUCUUUGUUGCCCUCAUUUUCGCUUUAAAUAAUAAUGCAGGUUUCUACACCUCCGAAUUAUCACCAUAUCCUCUCCCGAGAAUGUAUAGUGAUUGCUUUGUGGAGGCUUUGGUUAAUGAGGCAGAAAAGGACAAAGACAUUGUGGUGGUUCAUGCAGGAAUGGGAAUGGAACCACCACUUCAACUAUUUCAGGAAAAAUUUCCUUAUAAAUUUUUUGAUGUGGGAAUGGCGGAGCAACAUGCAGUUACAUUUUCUGCUGGUUUGGCUUGUGGGGGAUUGAAACCAUUUUGCAUAAUCCCAUCUACCUUCCUACAGAGAGCUUAUGAUCAGGUUCUCUCUCUCUCUCACACACACACACAUACACGCGUGCGUGCACACACUUUCCAAUCUUUUUCUACUCUAUUCAAUCACUGUUGAUUUCAAAUUGGUCUUAUUAUUGUAGAGUGUGUCCAACUUGAAAAUAUGUGAAGCAAGUAACAACCAAUGAAAAUGAGAAAUAUUGUAAUUAUUCAAAAUUCAAUAUGUGAUAUGCAAGGUUUGAAAUAUUGGUAAAUACGGAUAUAUCGAUACUUGGAUUUUACAGAUAUAUCGGAAAUAUCGGAGAAAUAUCGGUGGAUAUUUUGACAAAAAUAUCAAUAAGACAAAUUAUUCAAAAUUCAUGGAAAUAUUUGGAGAAACUCCAAAAAAUGAUAAAAUAAAUAAAAAUACACAUGUUAAAGUUAUUUUUUAAGUGUAAUUGACAUAGGUAUGGUUAAAGAGAAAAAUAUCGGUAAGUAUGGAUAUUUCGGUAUUAAUAAUUUAUUAUUUAUCUAAUCAAAUUAAUUUUAAUUUAUAAAAUAUUAUAACUUAAUUUUAUACAUAUAUAUGUAUAUUUUAGUCUUUUUUGAAUAAAUUUAUAUUUUUAAUAUUUUGAAAUAAAAAAUUCAAAAUUAAAUAAAAUUAAAAUGAUAUAUAUAAAAUUUAAAAGUAAAGUGAUAGUAAUUUUUUAAAAUAUGAUUAAUGAGAUAAAUGAUGAUACACAUAAUAUUAAAAUUAUGAUUUAUUUAAUUCAAAUGUAAAAUAAAUGAUGAUGCAUAUAUAACUUUUUAAUAUUUAAUUGUCAUAUAAAUGUUAUUAAAAAAUAUCUGUUAAGAAAAUUAUAAUGAUGGUUUUUAUACAUUUAUUAAUUAAUUAAAUAAAAUUUAAAUAAAAUAAUUAAAAUUUAUUUAUUUAUUUUUAAUAAUGAACUUUAACAAAUUUAUUAUCAUCAUAUAUUAGCAAGUGGGAAUUUGGCCUAGUGGCAAUCAGGCUUGAACCCAAGCCUUUUGGCCUGGGUUUGAAUCCCAACAGCAACGUAAACAAAAUUUGAAGCCUGACAGUAAAUUUGAAAUUUGAAGGAGCGGGUUGGAGGCAACAUUGACCAAAAAAAUCAGGAAAUCUGGGCUAGGGCCAUUGAAUCGUCAAAAAAUUUGAUCAUUCGAUGCAGGAAGGAAAGCUCGAAAAAAUCGGCAAUUUUUUUUUUUUUUGUGCUCUCCUUUGCCUGCCGCUGCAUGUCGCCCCACGCUCGAUUUUUUGCCAAUGGAUCGCCUCUGAACCAAUAUAUCGCCGAUCUUUUGGAGAUUUUGUCAAAAUUUUGCCGAUAUUCAUGCAAAUCGAUAAUCGGUGCCCAAUAUCAUUUCGGACACCACCGAUAUCCGAUAUUUCGGUGCAAAAAACUAACAUUUCAAUCCUUGGUGAUAUGCAAAUGGGCAUACAUGCAUGUCAUUAACUUAUUGGAUUUAUUGUUCUCUAAUGUACAAACAUAUACAUACAAAUAAAAAUGAAUUACAAGCAUAAGAACUUGGAUAAGAUUUUUUUUUUUUUUGAUAGGUUUGGAUAAGAUUCUUAAUUUAGUAAUAUCUGAUUGUGGCUUUCAUCUCAUUUUUACUUAUUCACAAAAGAUGAAUAAUUCCUUUUUAACCAUGUCAUCCACUUUGCCCUAGUACAACUUAGUGAUAAGUAUUCAGGACUACAUGGAACACACUCUCCCUCUCUGUGUGCUCUACAAAUGGAUGGUUUACAAUUGUAAUAGAUUGCAAUUUUAAGCAAGAUCAAUUCAUGUUUUUCAACUUUUGUAGAAUGGGAUGGAAUGAGACUCUGUUUUGCAUUAAAUAAUUAAUUACAUUCUUUCCAAAUUGGGUAAUAGAAGCAUGAUCAGUCUAAAUUGUUUAUCUUUCUCUGAUGGUCUCCUUAGGUAGUUCAUGAUGUGGAUCGGCAGAGAAUUCCUGUUCGUUUUGCCAUUACAAGUGCAGGACUGGUAGGGUCUGAUGGUCCCACACGCUGUGGAGCUUUUGACAUAACAUUCAUGUCCUGUUUACCUAACAUGAUUGUCAUGGCACCAUCUGAUGAAAAUGAGCUCAUGCACAUGGUGGCCACUGCAGCUCAUGUUGAUGAUAGACCAAUUUGCUUCCGAUAUCCUAGGGGCGCCACUGCUGGAAUGAGUAACUCUAUAUGGAAUGGAAUUCCCAUUGAGGUAAUCCCUUUAUGCCCUUUCUAUUUCUUUUGCGCAUGUUAACUUCUGGUAAUGUGUUGAUAUUUAUGUCCAGACAUUGUUUUUAGGUCUGCAUUGCUGUAAUAAAAGUCAGUUCACUGAAUUACUCCUGAUUUCUUGUUAGGUAAAUUUUCAUAUUGGUGUAUGAUUGAACUAGGUCAGAAGUUGUGCAUCUAAAAGGUUGAUGAAUUUUGAUCUUGAGAAAUUUUAAUAAUUAAUGUCUUAAAUUCUGAAAUUACUUUCCAGAUUAUCUAUGCUAAUUUCCUGCUGUUUUUGUCAUUUGUUCUGUUUUUCCUACCUUAUGCUCAUGUAAAAUUUGAAUUUGAAAUUAUACAUUUUGUUGGCCAGUUCUGAAUUCAAUUUUUCACUUUUCUCGACUUUGAUGCAAUUGUUUUUACUUGUAGUACAGAUUGGAAAAGGUAAAGUCCUCAUAGAGGGUAAAGAUGUUGCUCUGCUUGGGUACGGAGUUAUGGUUCAGAAUUGCCUUAAGGCUUGGUCGCUCCUUUCAGAGCUUGGAAUUAGAGUAACUGUUGCUGAUGCGAGAUUUUGCAAGCCUCUUGACAUCCAGCUUGUUAGAGAGCUCUGUGAAAACCAUGCCUUCUUAAUUACUGUUGAGGAAGGCUCUGUUGGAGGGUUUGGAUCCCAUGUUGCACAAUUCAUUGCUCUUGAUGGAAAGCUGGAUGGAAGAAUAAAGGUAACAUAUCUUACCAUAUAUUCAGAGUUAUCAAAGGCAAUCGCCUGGGUUGCCUAGGCCAUCAGGCUAGGCAGGGUAGAUAAAAGUCACCUUUUGAAGACCUAGGCAAGGCGACUUCAAAGAGGCAAUGCCUAGGCAAUCACCUUGGGAUAAGGCACAAGGCAUAGAGGCGACCUCACCUUUGACUGUGAAUUAAGAUUAAACAUAUUUAGAUUAUAAUUUCAUUCAAUCUAACAUUGGAUUAAACAAAGUAUAAGAUAAAAUAUUAUAUUAUCAAUCAUAGAGAUAAUAAGAUGGAGUGUUAUCAAUCUAGUCUUGAUGGAAGUAAUGACAAUUUUAAUUUUAAUUUUAAUAAUGACUAUGAUGAUGAUGCCUAAAGUUUCUCUAGAAUGUUCAAUCUCUUAUUUUGUUUUUUAUUUUGCUUUUUAGAUGUUUGAAAAAUUAGAAUAUACAUUUAGAUAGGAUGAAUAUCUUUAAACAAUAUGUUAUUUUUUAUAAUAUGGGGUAUAAUAUUUAACACUUUCAAUAAUUAUUACUAUUUUGUUAAUUUUAUAAGACAUCGUGAGUGAUGAAAAAUUAAUAGUGUUGAUUGUUGAAGACAACACUUAUAUUAGUUGAAUAUUGAUAGGUAAAUAUAUGUAUAUUUUUUAUCGCCUUGUUUUUUGCCUUUCGCCUUAGGCUAAAAGGAGUCAUAUCGCCUUUUGCUUUUAACAACACUACAUAUAUUUAUCAAUUAGUUUAUGUCCAUGCUGGGCUUAAAACUGUUCUUUUUUUCUUUUUAUUGUUUUCCAAAUCUGAGUUGUUGCAAAGAGUUAAUUUCCCCAUCUUUGUAACUUUGACCAGGCUGAAUACGUAGACCAUUUUCUAUUUUUGAACCAUGAGUCUUGAAUCUAUCCUGUCUGUGUAUAAAAUAUCAACUCAAGCAAGUUGAGCUUGAGAAGUUUUGUAGAUUUUCCUUCUCUAGGAGUGAGGAAAAAGGAUGACUGUCAUAUGGAUGGAAAUUACUAGGAGCAAGUUAUUGUAGAACUGUGUGAAUCCAUAAGCCAAUAGCUCCAUGCAUAAUGUCAGAUCCGCAUCAUCCAUAUGAAUAGAAAUUGUUAUAAAGUUGGAUGAUCUUCUCUUUGAUCAAGAAUUUGGAACACCCUAAUAUUUAAGUUGGACGUUCUUCUCUUUGAUUGAGAAUUUGGAACACCUUAAUAUUUAGUCCAUUCAUAGAUGUGCCAAUUCAAAAUCUCACUCCAUUCAUAUGAACCUGACUUUCAAAUUAAUGCAACUUUGUGAUUGAAGUAGACAAUUUGGAUUUUGUGCACUGAAGGGAGUGAUUUUUUUUUUUUCUCGUCUUUUAUGUGUUGGUGAUUAAUAGGAUAAAAAGGGAAUCCUCACACAAAUAUGUUGUCAUCAUUAAGGGAUAUGCAUUAAAAAGUAACUAGUAUGAGAAUGACUGGGAUGGGUUACUGAAAGAAUGGAAAAGGGGUGAUGUGGGUAAGAGGUUGUAGCUUUCUAAAAGGAGGAGGAAGUGGGGCUGGUGGAAGGUUUGCUUUGAUGAAUAAGUCUCAUAAGCCUUCCCAGUUUUAAUCUCUCUUCAAAUUCCUCUCUUUGAUUUAAGAGGGAUUUUUUAUGAUCUAGUGAAUUGGGUAAAGUUUUAAAUGUCAACAUUUUUUGGGAUUCCAUUUACUUGCCAAAUGAUUUUGGAGGCCUCAUAUUAGGCCUUUGAAGUAUUUGAAUCAAGCUCCUUAGGAGGAGUGGAUUUAGAGAUUAGCCUCUAAGAGAGAUUGCAGAGGUGGAUUAUGGCUAGCAAUAUGAUUGUAUAGGCAACUAUAAGACGUUGAUGUUUUGGAAGGAGAUAUGAUGUGGCAAUGUGUCGGAAGAGGGGUUUUCCUGGAAAUCUAUUGUAUUGGGGUUAUUAAGAAUUACAUCACUAGCAAAUCACAGACUAUGCAGUUGCACUUUCAUAUGAAAAGCUGCAUGCUAUAUUUAUUUUUAUGGAGGGGCAGGAUGUGCUGGAAAUGGAGAAAGAGCUAUGACAGGUUGUUUCAUGUAGUUCCACUACUUCCAUUUGUGUAAGUUGGUUCUCAAGCAGAAGGAAUGGGAUUGUGUGCCCUUUUGAAAGCAGGAUUUAUUGUAGGGACGACAAUUUAGCCAGUGAACUUUGUGUUUUUCUUAUCUCUGUCGUGCAUCACCUGGGUAUUACUUGUAAGUGGAGGGCCUCUUACCUGGAAACUGGUUUACAGGUUUAGGCGUAUAUGGUAGAUUUUUGGAUAGUAGCGCCCCUUUACCUCAUGUGGGUAGUGCGGAAGGAAAGGGAUAUGUAGCUUUUUCAAAAUUUAAUUCAAUCCUCAAGCUAAAGGAGCUCUUCCUUGAACUCCUUUACUUGGGUGCUCCAAGCUCAGUUUGAUGCCAAAUCUUCAUUUUUGCUUUUAUAUAUUGUUGCUCUUUGUCUUGAGCCACAACCCUGCAUGUAGUGGACACUUUUCCCUUUUCUUCUUCAUUAAACUUUCUUUUACCAGAUCCAAUAAAAUGUUUCAAUCCGUAUCUCUGACCCAUAUUCAAAUCAUGGCCAAGCUGUAGGCCAUGUGACCAGCACUGAGUUGGCGGCUAACUGGGCUUUUUCUUUGUCAUCCAAUGGUUGGUUCAGUUGAACUGGUGCCCGCCCCAGAAUGUAGAAUAAAAUGUGGCUGGACUCUCCUUUUGUGGCCCUUAAUCCUUAGGAUAUGCAGUCCCUUAAAUGAAACAUGAUUAAAAAAUCUAAGAACUAGUUAAGUGCCCCAAGUAUCCAUUGGAUGCAGGAAGGAAACAAGAGGGCAAAAAGCAUCAGAAAUGGUUCCCAUGAUGCCACAGGGAGUCGGUGGUGGUCAUCUACUAGGAAUUUUGGUGUUUGUGGUAUACGAGGUCUUCUCACUUUUCGGUACUAUUGUCUGUUCUUUUCUAACCAGAUUUUGUUUUAAUGCAGUCUGAAUAUUAGAUUAUAUAAUUUGUAUGAAGUUUGGUUGUUUGCAUGUGGCAUGUGCUCCUAGACUUCUCUAAACCAUCUUUUUAUUGAGUGGGAAUGUAUAAUAAUGUGACAGUACCAAAGCAAUCUUAGUAUGUAAUCUAAAAAAUUUUCUGGUUUUGAUUUAGAUUCCAACGCUAAUCAUGUUUUCAUUUCUGGGCAUUUUCAAAUCCAACUUGUGCAGUGGCGACCCAUCGCUCUACCCGACAACUACAUAGAACAGGCAUCACCAGAGGAGCAGCUGGCUAUUGCAGGGCUCACCGGCCAUCACAUUGCUGCAACAGUACUAAGUCUGCUCGGCCGUAACCGUGAAGCUCUCCUGUUAAUGCAGUAGAGAUCUGGCCACCAGUUGCAAAAACACAAGAGACUGAAGCUGCCUGGGAGGAUUGAUUGAAAUUGAAGAAGAGCAUUAGUUUUUGUGCCAUAUAGUUUUGUUUUGUAGGUACCAUGAAUAUUACCUUAGUGAUGGUUUCUUAGCCUAGUUUAAUAAUACUCUUUGUGAUCCCAUGGAAACUACUUCAGGUCUUCUGAGCACCUAAAUCAAUGAUGAUUUCAGUGGGAGACCGACCACCUUCUCCCUUCUCACUACUUGCUGCCUGCUCUUCUAAAUUUAAAGAUAACAAGAUUAAUCCAGUAAAACUGCUUUUGUUGAGAGGGACUAAAACUGCUUCCAAAAUUUCCUUAGUACAGUUAGGGGCAUGAGGUUUGUUUGAUAAUGUUUUCAAAAAUAAUGUGUUUGAUCGUGCUUUUAUUUUAUUUUUUGAAGUAUUUUUUAAAAAAUCACCUAUAAAGUGUUUUUUUAAAUUUUAUAUGCACUUUAAAAUGUAUGUUUGAGAAUUUAAAUUUGUUUUCUUUGUUUCUAAAUAUUUAUUAAAAAUAAAUUUUAUAAUUUUUAAUUUUUAAUUAUUUUUUAUAUUUAUACCAUUAUUUUUUAAAACAAUCCAACAAGUAAAAUAUUUUUAAUUAUCCUCUCUAUUUAUAUAAUUAAUUUUUAAAAUAACCCUUAAACAAUAAAUGAAAAUAAUUAAAAAAAAAAAACCCUAAACAAUAAAUGAAAAUAAUUUUUAAAAUACCGCAUUUUCAAAACAAGUUUUUAACAAAAAAUUUGCAAAAAAAAAAAAUUAUUAAAUGUGUUUUCAAGUCUAAAAAAUUAUUUUUACAAACAAUUCCCAACCUUAUUUGACAAAUUUUUAAAAAUAAAUCUAAAAAAUUAGCAAUUAGCUAAUAAUAGGAACCGCCGUAAAUAGGUCGGUGACUUUUGUUUGCUUAUGGGAACAUCAUUUUCCAACACCUUAAAAAAAUAAUAAUAAAUAAAAUAAAAUAAAAUCCCCACCUGAUAUUUAAGGUUUAUAAAUAGGUUAUUUAGAAACAAUGACAGCCCGAAACUACCGUCCUUUUAGCCAACCAUUUAUAGACACGUGUCAUUUCUAACAGAAUCUCGCGGGAAGGAGAAAUGGGGACCGCACGGCAUAUGGUGUUUUUGAACACAGCCUCCGCGGCUCUCUCCCGCCCCUAAACUGCGGCUGGAAAGAGAAACGGAGAAAGGCAGAAAGAAAGAAGGAAAACGCAAGAAAGUGAGAGAGAAAGACAGAGAAAGUUCCCUAACCCCCCACCAGUUUGCGGCGGACUUUCAUUGCCGAUAUCUGAAAGUCCGGCGGAGCACUCCACAUUCUACCUCAUCUUCGUCUUUCAUUCCUGAGGGAUUUUUUUUUUUUUUUUUCCUUUUUCUCUUUUCUUUUAUAUGCCUCUCUAGAGUCUCCGUCUGUUGCUCUCCUGCUCCAACAUCAAGGUUGCCAGGUUGGUUACAGUCUAUUCGUUUUCUUUUCCUUUUUUUUUUAAAAAGACUAAUGCGUCUGAACUAAGGUAUUCUCAUGAAUGAAGGUGUAGCUUGGCAGGAAUAAUUUAUAUGGCUACGAGAAAAUUUAUGAAUGAGAUAGAAAAUGUUGUUUAAGGUUCUACAUUUUCUGAUUUUUAGUUCCUGAGAAAAAUAGUAGAUUCAGCUUCAAGGUUAAGCUUGACUUGAGUUUUCUUUUUCUUUUUUUUGGUUCUUUUCUCCGGUUUCUCUGGAAACAAACAUAGCAUUCAUGCACGUGUGAGCAAAACCUUGCAAUAUCGAAGAGCGCGUUGUUGGAUUAGAUAUUUGUUUUGUAUUAAAAAUUUAGUGAUUUUUUUUUCCAAUGAGUAAAGGAUCUGAUACCGAGGUAAGUUCGUACAUGGAGGUUUAGAAUGGUGUAGAAAAUUUUUAUUUUUCCUGUUUGGCCAUCGAGAAAAUUGUUAAAAUAAGAAAAAAUAAACAAAUUGCAGAGUUUUACGCAUUUCUGGUUUGUACCAAAGCCUACAUAAUUGGUCUCUUCCAUAUUUUUGUAGUUUAUUCGUUAGAUAGUUCUUUUUCUCUUUCUUGACUGUUCCAUAACUCAUAAUGAACUGAAAUCAAACUGCAUCUGUGCAUCCAGUUUCAAAUACCUCUGUUUGGUUCUUGAGAAACCUUAGGAAACGAAAAGGAAAAUAAGCUUUUGAAUCAUUCCAUUUUCUGCUGUUCAAUUCUUGAUAAAAAAACUCAAGGUUGAGUGGAAUUUUCUGUUGUUCCAGAUUCUUGACAAGAAAACAGAGCAUUCAGGUUUUUUCUUUUUCUUUUUUAAUCUUGAAUUAGAUAACAGAUUCAUGAACAGAUGUAGAUGAACUAAACCUGUGUGGUCAGUACAUGGCUUCUUCAAAUAUUACUAAAGGAUCUCAAGGAUUUUGUCUACCUCUUCCAUAUACUAACAUAUGUCUUAUUUUUGUAUUAUCAGAAAUGGGAAACAUUAGAGUUCCUUUUAAAGGGAUCAUUAACGAUUAUAAAGGAAGAGCACCAUGCUAUAAACAAGAUUGGACUGGUGCGCAUGGCUCCGGUGUUAGGUACUUUCUAUUUGCUUCAGAACAUGCUACAUGGUUUAAAUUGCCUUCUCUUGUAAUGAAAAUUUUUAUUUAUUCUCCUUUUGACGCCUAUCAGGAUAUUGGCUCCAACUUUCUAUAUAUUCUUUGCUUCUGCCCUUCCCGUCAUUGCCUUUGGGGAGCAAUUGAGUAGGGAAACAGGUAUUUUGUUCUCUCCCCAGAGCAUGGUUUUUCAUAGAGACUACAUAGGAGGCAGAAAUUGCUUUAGGCUUUGAUUUGUGUGAAAAAAUCAAAAUUCUGAACCUCCUAAUUCAAUAACUAAUCUCUGUUGAGAGUAGCUUUUCAUUUAAGAAAAUGAAAACAGCAUGAAAAAGAAAACAUGAAACUUUCUUCUGCUUUCAUUGGAUUCAUGAAGUGAUAACUAGGGCUGAAGAAAAGGGAUACUUAAUGCAAGCGCCAAAUCAUAAAUCUAUGGAUGAGAACUUUUCACCAUCUUCUUUUCCCAUGGGUAUGAUUGUUUUUCAUGAUUGAAACUUUUGUUUUUGUUAGAUGGGCACUUGAGCUCAGUUCAAACUCUAGCUUCUACUGCUAUAUGUGGAAUCAUCCACUCAAUUUUCGGUGGGCAGCCUUUGUUGAUUUUAGGAGUUGCAGAGCCCACAGUUAUAAUGUACACUUACUUGUACAAUUUCGCCAAAGGAAAGUCAGACUUGGGGAAGGAUCUAUAUCUAGCUUGGGCUGGGUGGUAAGAGAAUCAAUCCCAUCAUUUUCCACAUUGUUCUAUGUCAUCAAAGCAUCAUGAAUCAGAACAUAUGUUUGCCUAUUUUAUUUAUUUAUGUUUUUUACAGGGUUUGCGUCUGGACAGCUUUAAUGCUAUUUCUUCUUGCAAUAUUCAAUGCUUGCACCAUCAUCUCUAGGUUUACAAGGGUUGCAGGGGAACUCUUUGGCAUGUUGAUUGCAGUUCUUUUUGUUCAAGAGGCUAUUAAGGUAUGUGAUAGAAAAUACAUGAUAAUAUGUGGAUUUAGCAAAGAGAGAGGAUCUUGUGGUUAACGUGAUAAAUGUUCAAAUUGCAGGGAGUAGUGAGCGAAUUUAAUAUUCCCAAAGAUGAAGAUCCUAAAUCAGUUAAGUAUGAAUUCCAGUGGCUUUAUACAAAUGGACUGCUUGGGAUCAUUUUCUCUUUUGGUGUACUUUUUACUUCCCUAAAGAGCAGAAGAGCAAGGUCAUGGCGAUAUAGCACUGGUAGGUUCAAGUGAAGUUUAGAGAUUUAAUCUCUGUGACUUAUUGCUUGGGACCUGAUUUUUUCCAUUUGGCUGCUGAGUACAGGAUGGGUCCGAGAGUUCAUUGCAGAUUAUGGGGUUCCUCUUAUGGUCCUGUUGUGGACAGCAUUAUCUUACAGUAUACCUAAGAAAGUUCCUUCUGGAGUUCCCAGGAGGCUCUUUUGUCGUGCUCCCUGGGAUUCUGAUUCAAAUUACCAAUGGGCUGUAGUACAGGUAUUAAUUUUGUGAUGAAUUCUCCUCUUCCCCCCUCUUUUUUUAUUCUCUUUGUUUUUUUAGGGGGAAAGAAGUCAUGUCUCUUUGUGGUUUCGGUGUCUUCUAACUUCUAGUUGAAAGUCAGUUCCUGUGGAUCUGACUAGGAAUCGUGCUAAAAAAAAUACUAGUAUUAAUAGAUAUGGAAAUUAUUUUUGGAAACGAUCAUCAGCCAUAGAGAAUAUGCUACUGCAUUAUGAUUAUAUAAUCUUUACUUGAGCUAGAGUGGUCUGUCUAUUCACAAUGCACAAAAGAAUGGAACUGCACCUCAUACUUGAGCUGGAGUGGCCUAAAACGGAUCUCUUAGUGGGAAUCAGAGGUUUUUCGAAAUACAUUUAACAACUUGACAAAAGUACGUAAUAGUGAUAACGUUCUGAAUUAUGUGCUUCAAGUGCUCAAAUUGCAGGAUAUGGGAAAGGUCCCAUUGGGGUACAUCUUUGCUGCCUUGAUACCAGCUGUGAUGAUAGCGGGCUUAUACUUUUUCGACCACAGUGUAGCUUCACAGAUGGCACAGCAGAAGGAGUUCAAUCUCAAAAACCCUUCUGCUUACCAUUAUGACCUGUUCUUGCUCGGAGUUAUGGUAUUUUCUGACUUCUUAUUUUGUUAUUUAUGUUUCUGACAUAUUCUAUCUAGAUUUUCAUGCUUCUUUCACUUGGCUAUUUCAGACUCUGCUUUGUGGGUUGCUUGGAUUUCCUCCUUCAAAUGGAGUCCUCCCACAAUCCCCCAUGCACACUAAGAGUCUUGCAGUCCUCAAGAAGCUGGUGGGAUAUUCUAUUCUACCUAGAAGAUAAUUUCCUCUUCACUGAUAGUGCUAACUGUCAAUAACCCAGAUUUGGAUUCUUAGACAACAUGAUUUAUACUUUGUAGUUGAUUCGAAAAAAGAUGGUUAAAAGCGCCAAGGAAUGUAUAAAAGAGCAAGCAAGCAACUCAGAAAUGUAUGGAAGGAUGCAAGCUGUGUUCAUAGAAAUGGACACAGCUCCUAAUGUAAGUGCUCUAGUCAUGUACAAUCACAUGUAUUUAUUUUCUUUUUAUUUGCUAACUAUAGUUUGGAUUUUUUGCAGGAUGUUUCAGUAGACAAAGAGUUGAAGGACUUGAAGGAGGCUGUAAUGAAUAGCGAAGAUGGAGGAGACACAAAAGGCAAAUUCGAUCCUGAGAAGCACAUCGAUCCUUACUUGCCUGUUCGAGUUAAUGAGCAAAGAGUGACCAACCUGUUGCAGUCCCUCCUUGUAGGCAUAUCUGUAUGUGCUAUCCCUGUCAUCAAGGCUAUACCUACCUCAGUUCUUUGGGGAUACUUUGCCUACAUGGCCGUUGAUAGCCUCCCUGGGAAUCAGUUCUGGGAAAGGAUCUUGCUGCUCUUUAUCACCCCUGGCCGCCGUUACAAGUAAGUCACGCAAUAGGAUCGCGAUUUAGCUAAUUUCGCCGUGGGGCAGUGAUAAAUACAGAACCAGAAAAAAUGAAUAGAUGACUAAUUUUAUUUAUUAUUGUUAUACUGAUCCCAUGUCAUGCAAUAUUUGUUACAGAGUCCUGGAAGGGGUUCAUGCUUCAUUUGUGGAAACAGUACCAUUCAAGUACAUUGCGACAUUCACGCUCUUCCAACUCGUAUAUCUUAUGAUUUGCUUUGGAAUAACAUGGAUACCUAUAGCUGGAAUACUGUUCCCAGUGCCAUUCUUUCUUCUCAUAAGCAUAAGACAGUACAUUCUGCCCAAGCUGUUCCAAACUCAGCAUCUUCGAGAACUGGAUGCCGCUGAGUACGAGGAAAUUGCUGGAGCCCCACAGCGCAGCCGCAGCAUCUCAAUCAGGGUAUGUUACUUAGUUUCAGUGAUGAUGAUGGUACCCUGAAGUGUACAAUUUUAUAGUUGAAAUUAGUUGUCAUAGUGUCCUGGAGAAGCCUAAAGUUUGUGCAUAUAUGGGCGUGGAAAUAUGUGAGCAGGAGAGAGAAGAAGCUGUUCCUGGAAGUCAAGGGACUGACGAAGAUUUUUUUGAUGCGGAGAUAUUGGAUGAAAUGACUACCAAUAGAGGGGAGUUGAAGCUUAGAACUGUAAGCUUCAAUGAAGAUAGAUUCUUUCAGGUAUGACCCAAAAUCAUUUUGCGCUUCCAGUCCUUCUUAUAUCUCAAACAAAGCUUAUAACUACGCAUGUUGGGUUUUCUUUCAGGUGCACCCAGAAGACACCAGUCGGACGCAGUGAGAGCUGAUGAUGACGAAGAUGGUAAUACUGAUCACAGAAAAGUGGCAAAGAAUGUUAUUUUCCUCGUAUAGAGUCCACUGAUUACACCUAAAAAAGCAAAAACAAAAGAGAAUAGUGGAAAAACAUAGAAGGAUAAUGAGUGGAGGAAUGAAGUAUUUGAAUGUAAUUUAUAUGGAGUAGAGGAAACCAGAGAAUGCGGGGUGCAAGGUUUGGUGGGGGAACGGGGGAGAAGGCAUUCAUAUACUUCUCUUUCCAUGAAAAUUUGAUGGUCAAGGGGUGUAGGCUUUCGUCCAAAGGCCAUUAGUAGAAUUUCUCCAAAUUUGGUUCAUUCUUUUACUUUACAUUUUCUACCUUUUGGAAUUGUCAUAAUAUAAACAAAAUCCUUGCAACGAUUUAUGAUGAAAAUAAUAGAAAAACAAUACGCAGAUUUAACGUGGUUCGGCUAAUUGCCUACGUUCAUGGGAACAGGGAAAAAGAUUUUCGCUAUAUUCAAAUUAGGAUUACAUAAAAGGUAUUUAUAUUAAUCAUUGGGUAAUGAAAUUCCAAAAAUGCCCAUGAACCGUACCAUGGGAGACACCCCAACCUAUCAUUCACCUACAACAAUAUAAAUACAAGUCUAAAUGGUAAAUGUCGUGGCUCUACUCCGUUCUACUCCACCUCAUUCUGACAUUUGCCCCUUUUUCUCGAUAUGUCUUUCACUCAAAUAUGAACCACAUACUAACACAUUUGUAUCAACAUUUCGAACCCAGGAGCUAAAUUAGGAAGAAAAAAACAAUGUUCUGUUCCCUUUUUCUUCUUUCCUUCCAUGAUGAAGUCAAUGCUUUCUUACACAAAGAAAAUAGUUAAGCCAAAAAAUACUUAAAACUUUCAUAAAAUUUCAAAAGCCUAAUGAAUAUUGAAAGAAAUGGCAUUAUACACUAUAUGUUUGAAUAUAAUGGGCAUCACAAAAUAGAAAUGAUAAAAUAUAAAUUUAAUUAAAAUCAUAUAUGGUUAUUGGUUUUUGAGGAUAUAUACUUCCUAAAUCUAUGUUUAUGUUUGUUAUUAUUGGCAAUAUCUAUUCAGUUUGCAUUUGAUUGUAUAGUGGUUAAACUCAACCUAUCAUUCUAUUCUAUUACAGUGAAGACAACAAAUUCAGAAAGAUAAUAAUUGUUUGAGUUGCAUUUGGGCAUUUUUAUAUAUCAUAAUACAUGAAAAAUAUGAUAAUUUUUUUUAAAAAAAAUUACAUUUAGAUUUAAAAUUACUUUUUUAGAUCAUAAUUCAUAAUAUUCUAAGAAUAAUAAUAAUAAUAAUAUAAUUUUUUUGGAUUCGAACGGACAGAACCAAAUCACAUACAAAUGAGUAAAAAAUUAUAAGAAAAAGGUACGAAAUUUUAACAUGUUUCAACAAUCAAUUGAGUCCUUAUACCCACAAAAUAUAUUAAUACUCAAGAAUCUAUUAAAUAAAAAAAAAUUACAAUAGUGAAGUUUUCAAAAAAUCUUUUAAUUGCAAUCAUACCAACUUUAAAAAUAAAACAUUAAAAUAUAAAAGGAUUAAAUAUAUGAUAAAAACAAACUUGACAUUGAUCACAUAAAAAUAAAAAUUAUAAGAGACAUUACUCCUUCAACCCACGAAUUAAUCGGGUAACUCAAUCCCCAUAAACUCAGUGGGGAGCUCGACCGCGACAUCCACCCAACAAAAUUAAUGAAAAUUUCACGAUCUAUCAUUACCUACAUUUUUGCAAUCUUAAAUCACAAAAGAAAUUAACGCUAAAAUAAAAAUUAAAAAACAUUGCUUUGAGUUGGAUUUGUUUUUUGGUAAAAAUAAAUUUAUGUUAUAAAAAAUAUUUUGAAAAUUUUAUUAUCAUCCAUGCAUUGUACUUCAGAAAGAUUCUUAGAAAUUAUUUUUUGGAAACUGUUUACAAACACAUCUUUUAACAGCCCUUUAGCUUCCUCUACAGAGCCAUAAGUUCAAUUCAUCCAGACACGUAACUUUUUGGAUGAAAUCGAAGUUGGUUUUCUUUGAAAAGUCAUUUGUCACAACUCCAUCAAUCAAUGCCCACCUGCUGAUGGGAUGUUUCUUCCAAAAUUGAUAACAUUAAUGUAAAUUUAAGCUAAUAAAUUAAGAAUGACUAACAUUAAAACAAAUCUGGAGUUUAAGUUAAAAAUAAUCCAUCGGUAGAAAAAAAAUGGCAAGAAUAGUACACAUCUCAGAAUAUUUGUUAAACUAAUCUUUUUGCAUCCACGUAUCUAUCUAUAUAGAUUUUUUUUUAAGUGUGUAAAAUCACCGUUGGUGACUGUGAUUUUAAAAGUUUCAGAAAUUAUUUUUAAUUCAUCUAUGUUUUAAUGAUAUUAUGAUUUUAAUAUUAUUUUUAAAAUAUUUUUUACCAUAAUAACCAUAAAACCACUUUUAUUAAGGAAUAACCUAAAAUCAUAAUCAUUAGCAUUAAUUUUUAUAUGAAAAUAUAAAAUUUUAAAAUAAUAUAAAUAAUUUAUUUAGUUAUUUUAAAAUUUUAAAAUAAUAUGAAAAAAUAAUUUUCUUUAAUUCAUAUGUGAUAAAAUUCAUAAAACAAAUAAAUAUUUUAUUUAUCAUAAAUAUAUAAAUUUUUAUGGAAAUGAAGGCGAAAUUAUUUUCUCAAAAUUUUAAGGAAAAUAUGAAAAAAUAAAGAUAAUAUAUAUAUAAUUUUAAAACAGUUGUAAAGAAAAAAUUUAUUAAGGAUAAUUUGUAAAUAAAAAUAAUUUUAAACUGAGAAUGGAAAAUUGUAAGAAAUUUUUCACACUCCAAAAAGAACUUUAAGAAAAUCUGGUACAUCGUUAAGAAAUUUUGGUACAUUCAUAAUUUACACUAAAAUUAAAAAUAAAAAAACAAAGUUUUAAAAUCUCAUAUUUUUUAAGUUGAUGUAUGGUUACAUGAGUUCCCCUUAAAAAUAUUUAUGAAACCCCAGGGUUUUAAAAAAAAAUUGUAAAACCACAGUCUAUGACAGUGAUUUUUAAGGAUAUUUUCAAAAUUUCUUACAAUUUUCUAUUAUCGGUUUAAAAUUACUUUUUUUUUUACAAAUUAUCCUUAAUAAAUUUUUUCUUUACGACUGUUUUAAAAUUAUAUAUAUAUUAUCUUUAUUUUUUUAUAUUUUCCUUGAAAUUUUGAGAAAAUAAUUUUGUUCGGCAUUCCCAUAAAAAUUUAUAUAUUUAUGGUAAAUAAAAUAUUUAUUUGUUUUAUGAAUUUUAUCACAUAUGAAUUAAAGAAAAUUAUUUUUUCAUAUUAUUUUUAAAUUUUAAAAUAAUUAAAUAAAUUAUUUAUAUUAUUUUAAAAUUUUAUAUUUUCAUAUAAAAAUUAAUAUUAAUAAUUAUGAUUUUAGAUUACUCCUUAAUAAAAGUGGUUUUAUGGUUAUUAUGGUAAAAAAUAUUUUAAAAAUAAUAUUAAAAUCAUAAUAUCAUUAAAACAUAGAUGAAUUAAAAAUAAUUUCUGAAACUUGUAAAACCACAGUCACCAACGGUGGUUCUAAAGAAAAUUAUAAAACCACAGUCACAAACUGUGGUUUUAUGGAUAUUUUUGAAACUUUUAAAAUCACAGUCACCAAUGGUGGUUUUACACACUUAAAAAAAAAUCUAUGUAGAUACAUACGUGGAUGCAAAAAGAUUAGUUUGACAAAUAUUUUGAGAUGUGUACUAUUCUUGCCAUUUUUUUCUACCGAUGGAUUAUUUUUAACUUAAACUCACAAAUCUGACUAAGAAGUGAUUCUUAUGUUUUUAGUUAAAUUUAUAAAAUUCAAAAAAAACAAAAAAAGGUUUUAUACAUAUUUUUCUCCAUGUCAAUCAUCAUUUUCUAUUCUCUUUCCCCCAUUUUUGUAUGUUGUAAGAUCCACAAAAGAGGAAAACUAUAAACACAAUUUUGAAAUUGAAAACAACAUUUUCUCCUGUCCCCUAGUUAUAUGUUAGUGUGGGGGAGAAUCCAAAUUAGUCCCAGCCUCUACUUGCUUAGAAUUUUCAUCUCCAUCCUCACUCACCAGAAUGAGAUGAUCACCAUCUCUGAUAAGCUCUAUGUCUUCAACUUCUGCUCCUUCUUUGGUUACAACUUUUGUAGGAGAAAACUUGAAUUUUUUGGCACCGAUAUCCAGUAGCUCCUGAAGGGACUGUGGCAGAGGAACCAGCUUCCCUGCUACUUCACCUUUUUCUGGGCAGCUAAGUGUCACUCUAGCAGGAAAGUCCCUUUGUCUUGGGGAAGUAGCAAAACUGGCUGCAGAUCGAAUAAAGCCCUUUCUCUCACCUGCAUUAUCAAUUAAAUCAUAGUCAAUCAAGAGCCAUAAUGAAUAUGUUCAAGACUAUAAUCUUUUUUCAUGUUCAUGUAUACAGAGUUUAUUGUUUUAGCUCGGCUUUAUCUUCCUCAAUCAAUGUGAGUAACCCCAUAACCUGAGAACUCAAGAAGUGGAUGACUAUUAUCCUACAUUUCACGAUAUUUGAUUUCUUUUUUCUAGCAUGUAUUAGCAAAAAAUUUAGGAGAAAAGAAGCCAUGCUCACGUGUAUUGACAGAUGACAUGAUCCCAAAGAGUGAAUUGUUGAAAUUGUUGACCCUUCGCCUUGGACGGUUAUCAUCUAUCCAUGACACCUCAAGUCCUGUUGAUUCUCUAUCAUGCUGAAAGGGCUGUAGAUAUGAGUCGCUCUUGAACUUCCCGAGGAAGGGGACCCCUGGCUUCUUGGUAGCUGGCACAGGGGUUAGUUUUUUAGUCUCCCGCUUGGUUUGGAACAGAACUUUUAUUUCUUCAUGGCCCUGUUGAUCAGCCAAAGUCCUUGGGGUCCACCCAUCGUUAUCUAGCUUGUCAACAUCAGCUCCUUGAUCUAGCAGAAACUUAACUAUUUCGAUGUUUGCUUCAGAGGUUGCUGCAUGAAGUGCAGUGGUGCCAGAGCUACUGGGAUGUGUUACGUCCCCACCAAAGCGAACAAGGUCUUUGAGCAAGUCUAGGUCAUUUCGUUCAACAGCAGUGCAUGCAUACUGACCCACAUUGCUUAGCGGUAUCUUCGCACCAUUGUCCAUGAGUAGUUUGAUCAUGGAUUCAUCUCUCUCCAAAAUGGCAUCCCACAGAGGAACAAUUCCUUCUGAAUCUGUAUGAAAUUAAGAAAAAAAAAAUCAGAAUAUAUGAAGUUGUAGGUAGGAGAAGCCAUAGAGAUUAUGAACAUGAUACAAUCAUGACCAGAUUUGAGAUUGUAUUCUUAUGGUAAUAGAUACCUUUGCCAUUAGGGUUUGCUCCAUAUUCAAGAAGCAGGUGUGCACAUUGUUCUCUCCCUUUGGACGCUGCAAUAUGCUGUAGCAUAGAAAUUAAAAUGAGCUUCAAGCAAAGGAUAUGUGUGUUUGCAUGUAUGCAGAGAGAAAGGGGGAUUUUCAAACCAGAGGAGUUCGUCCAUUGCUGUCUAAUUCGUUUGGAUCCAAACCACGUUUCAGCAACUGAUGCAACAAUAGAUCAUCUCCUCUCAAAACUGCAAAACACAAACUGAGAGGCAAUUCCAUUCUUCCCUGAGCUAGCAUGCUCUCUAUGUCAGCCAAAACUCCUUCCAUUACUGGGUUUUUGUGCUCUUUCAAAUGCUGCAUCACCCAAAAAAAAAUUAGCAUAACAAUUUGCCUUCUGACAAUAUGCUUGCUUUGACAUGAAAGGAAAUGUUAAAAGUGAACUUUUAUGAAUAUAAUUGUAUGAGGUAAGCAUAAGUAUUAUUAUAAAAUUAGCCUACUACUCAGAAAUAACAGAUCACAAAACAUAAAGCAAACCCACUUUCAUUCAUUUCAGAGAGCUAUGUAAAAUUCAUUAACAAGCAUAUAUCCUCCGCCUCUUUCAUCUCCACAUCUACCUUUUCUUGGUUUUAAUAGGUAAGAACAUGCAGGUGAUUAAGCUCAGAAGGGGAUCAAUCCAAAUACAAAGUACAGUUUCCCUCAACAUUUUACCAACUUUGUCAAACAUAGAAGAACGAUUUUUUUUGGAAAAACACUGUAUUCUUUGUAAGUCACUAUCUCCGAUUAUUUUGUAAAAUGGAAGUAAUUUCCUUUCUCUAUUAGUCAUAAUGACAGCAAGAUGACUUCCGUAGGAAUGAGGAGAAAUUGGAGCCUUAGUUGACUAGCCAAGCUAUGUCAUUAUAGCUGUCAGUAAUACAAACCUGAAGUAGAUUGUUUAUGAUUAUUGCUCCAUCUCCAACGUUUGCCUGAACAAGAUUUAGAAGUGCAGUACGGUUCAGACGAAGCAGCUGACACAGUCGUUUGGUCCUAGCCGUGAACAGUUGUGGCCUGUAACAAAGCACACCUAUCUCACCACAGACAUCUCCUGUCCUUAUCUCUCCAACAACCUGCAAUCCUCCAUAGCAGACAGGAUUCUUUUUAUGAUGGUGAAUGAGUUUCCACAUCUUUUCUCAGAGAUCAUGAAAAUAUACAGUUUAUAAUGCUAACUGGAGUGUUUAUAUCAUUAAACUUACCUGUUCUAUCGCAUUCCUGCGUUCAAUGAGCUCCUGUCAGAUAGACUUCAAUAUAAGAAGCCCGAAAGACCAAAAAACAAAACAAAACAAAAACAGGAAUAAAUUCUUGAGUUUUGAAUAGUAAUAAUUUGUAGAAUGUGACCUAUUUUACUAUGUCUUUGACACAAAUAUAUCAUAUAGAUAGAUAGAUAGAUAGAUAGAUAGAUAGAUAGACAAAGAGAGAGAGAGAGAGGGGUUCUUACCACAACACCAGUAACCAGUACAUACAAGUCUGUAGGUGCUUCAUUCUGCAAAAUGAUGUCUUCUUUGGGAGGAAAAUACUCAGGCUUCAUCUCUGAAACCUUCAAAUUUAAAGACAAGGAAGAAGAGCUAAAAUAAGAAAAAUGAAGUUUUGGUGUGUGAAUAUGUGCAUUUUUCUUAACAGGUUAUGGUAAGAUACUUAUGGUCUUGUUACAUGUGUAAAUAGAAAAUGUGAUUCUUUCACUUUUGUAAUGCUUAAUUCAAUAUGAGCAAAUUUUGCAGCUUUAGAAUUGCAUAUGGUGAAAUAAAUCAUGUUGACACAUUAGAGAACGCCUUAAAACACUAUCGGCACCAACAAAGAAGAUUGAUAGAAUUAGAAAGAUUACCAGUUGGAAAAGUAAGUCAUUUGAUACACCACGAAACAAGUACACUUUGUCCACAAGUGAGUAGAAGAGAUAGUGUGAAAUACUUGAUCGAAUGGCUUUAGGAAGGACUUCUAGGGUCUCUUGCUGUUGCAGCCCUUCUGAGUUUGUUCUAUGCCUCAAACUCAAGUGAGCAAGCAUUUGAUCUUGCAGGCGUACAGGUAGUUGAUUCCUCAGUGCAAAACUUGAGGCAGCUUGAAUACUAUCUCUCUGCAAUUCCACAUGAAAGCACCCUUGAAAAAGUUGAAGUGAGAAAGCACAAACAUUCAAAAUAAAAAAUCCAAUAGAACAAAGAUGCAUGGCCUUGAGUUUUUUGAAUGAAAAUCUGUCCCAUAUGCUAAUAGAACUUGGACAAGCAUGUUGGCUAAUUGAAAAAGCAGCACCAAUUUAAAAAUGUAGUUCAGUUUCUUAAGAAGUCCAUUCUAUUUCACUUUGUGCAAAUGGUGAAUUUGAAACUCCACUGGAACAGAACUCAGAGGAAGUGACCAACCCGAAGUGGAAAUAGGUCUCAGAUAAAAUGUUUUCAAGGUGUUACCGUUUUCUGCAAGAAGGGAUGUUGAGCCCAAAAAAUCCUUUUAACUUGAGCAGGAAUGCUCAAAACUUGAGAUCAUCUCAAUUUUAAGCUUAAGCAAUUAGAAAGAAUUUACUCACAAAUUUCCUAGUUCGACUGGUACCAUGGACAACCAAGUUGGUCAUAUUCCCAAUCAAAUAUGAUGUUAAUCCAAGAUUAAAGAGCAUAUAGAAGAUGUCAAACACCAUCUCCCUUGUAUUCACUGCAUGCAAAUCGCCAUAGCCCGUAGUUGUAAGAGUGGUGAUUGACCAGUACAUUGAGGUCACGUAUCGUUGCCACAAACUGUGGGUAUUAAGGUCCCCCAUGACCAACCCAAGCCAUGUCUUCUUUGGGUCACCGUGUUGAGAACCAAGGAGAUAGUAGAAGCAACCAGCACAGUGAACUGCAAAUAGAGUAACCUACAAGGAAAUCAUGAUAAGAUGGGUCAUUAUCAAAGAGUGCCCCCCCAAUUUAUCGGAAACAACCAAAUAUCCUCAGCAGGUACUCACACAAAUAAGCUUUGCACAUCGAACCCAAAAGUAGUUAAAGUUCCUAUCUUUCUCCAAUCUGUAAUGAUACAAGGAACAAUGAAACUUUCAUGGUCAGGAAACCAAAUCAUCAAGAAGAUCCAAUCAUCAGAACAAAGAUCGCUUCCUAACAAAGUAAAAAAUUAGAACAGUUGUUGUUGCUAAACACAUGGAUUUGAUAUAAGCUUCUUUCAUGAUGUAGCAGUACUGAAACACGAUUUCUCUGACAAGAAAGUCACCGAUUCCUAAGUUGUCAGGAACUUAAAAACUUGACAUCAUAUAAGAAAGAUUAUAACAAUCCAAGAAAUUGAUGGUGGAAGCCCCUGGCUUACCUGGCAAACAUAGAACUGACUCUUCGGAGACGCCAGAGACGGAGCAUAUUGAAGUAGCCAUAUUCUUUAAGAGGUUUGGGCAAAAUUUUCCGAGCAAGUUCAGAAGGGAUUGUGGAAAUGACAUCAAAGGCUAACCAUGUUUUCGUGUAUCUCCAAGCAAUUAGCUUGUGAUUGUCAACGAGGAGGUAAGUAGAUCUAUCGAGGUAGGCAACAAAGAAGGUCAAGAUAAUAUCAAUGGCAAAAAACCCAUUAACUACAUUAUCAGCAAUGGAGAGAGGCCCCUUUGGUUCUUCGAGGAAUCCAAACUCAAAUGGAGAUACCCAUGCUGUAUAGAAGACCAGAAAUACCAGAUAUGUCUCCCAGAGUCUGCAAUUGUCAGUUUAGGCAAGGUGGGGUUCAAUUAAUUCAAAUCAUUCAUAACAUCAAGCUCAAAUCCAUGAACUUAUGCUUGCUAAACAACGUAAGAAGAUGGUUGUCUGAUAUUUAGCAUUUAAAAGAAAGUGCAAAGCUAAUUAAACCAGAAAAGCAUUUGGGGAAAAUACUCUGAUCCUACUCAGUCAUUCCAUUUGAAGAAAUAUAAUACAACAUUGAAGUAAUGAUUCAUAAUAAUCAUUCCUACAGAGAAAAAUCCAUCCAUGAUAACAAGCAUGCAACCGACCAUCUAAGCUAAAUGAUUAAUGUGAUCGAAGCAGUUUCACAUUUUAUUUUUUAGCAUAAAAGACCACCCAGAAAACUUGCAAGAAUGCAAAGAAAAUUUAAAAAACAAAAACAAACAUAAAGGGAAAGGGGAAAAAGAAAAGGAUGUUGCUUUUGCAAAAUGAUCUGUUUUGUCUCCUUUGUUUUUUUCUACUUUUUUGCAAAAAGUUUCAGAAAACCCCAAGGCUGUAUAAAAACAAACCAUUGAAAUCAGAAUCACAUUCAAAAAAAUCAACACGGGAAAAAAAAAAAAGAGAUUCUUUAAAUCUUCACCAGAAAUCAAGCAAUAACAUGUCUGUUCAAGAUACCACUACCAGGACAAACACUAAAAGAUUCAUAUUCCUUCCCUUCCAUGAGCUCCCAUCUAAAGGACCCAACACAUAGAAUCUAAAAAGUCAGUAAAUAUACACUAAAAAUCAAACAAUAACACAGACAUUCAAAAAAACCCAGAAAGAUUAUCAUUCAUAUAAACCCCAAAAAACUCAAAUUCGUGUGUUCUGGUAUUCAUUAAAUAUACACUACCAAAAGUAAUCAUCAACAUUUAUUCCAACAACCCAGAUGAAUAAUCAUUCAUAUAAACAUCAAAAAAAUAAGCUUUCAUUCCGAAAACAUUGAUAAAUCAAUCAUUCAUACCAACAUCAAAAGCCUCCAAUCCGCUUGUUUGCAUUCAUUCCAAAAAAAACCCAUAAAAUAACGAUGAAUAUGGAGAUGAAAAUCCUGAAAAUCAUGUGUUUUGAGAAUGUCCCACAAAAAAAAAUGAUGUAAACGGGAAGAAAGAUUGUCUGAAAGAGCACCUGUAACGGGCAUCAAAAGGAGAGACAAUGAAGCGACGGAGAUUGAUUCUGCGGUUGCUACGUGCGCCAAGAGAAGGGAGAAUAGCACUUGUGACGCUGAAAUGGCUUGCGUCGUCUCUUGACAACUGCUCAAUGGCCUCUUCUUCGCCACCUCCUCCACACCAUCCUCCCCUCAGCAAUCCGCCUCUCUUUCGUCUAUGCACCAUCUUAUUUCCAGCUCUCCUUCUCAACCACCACAAAGCCUCCCUCUGCCCCUCCUCCCUCCCCUCUCUCUCUUCCUCUUCCCCUCUCUCUCCCCCUCUCUCUCCCGGUGUCUUAAGGAAAGGUGCUGCUGCAGCUAUUACGUGACUUGCGGUCCUUUUUCUGUUUAUGUCGAUGUUAUUAGUGACUUAUUACUCACAUGCCUUUCCCCAUAAAAUUAUAUAAAGACCAUUCUACCCUUUUGUUAUUAUCACUUACUAUAAUAAUAAUAAUACCUCACCUGAUAAUUUAAAAAAUAGUUUUGGAUUUUUGUUAACUAAUAAAGAUAAUGAUUCCAUGCAAGAUGAGUUUAAAUGGUAUACGUGAUCUUAAAUUCUUUACUUUUUUUAAUCCCUAUUUAUUUUUAAUAAAUAAAUUCAACAUUAAAUCACCACAUCGAGAUCUAACAAAAUGCUAAAAAUAGACCCAAAUAAAAACAUACAAAGUCAAAAAACAAUUUUUUUUUUCAAAUCAUGAAAUUAUUUGUUUUUAAAAAAUAUUUAUUAAUAUAUUUCAAUCUAUUAAAAAAAUAAUUAAUUUAUUAAAAAAAUGAAAUAAUCCUCAUAUUUAUUAAUUUAAUAUUUUCCGUGAAAUAAUUUUCACAUUUAUUAAUUUAACAUCUCCUAUGUUUUUACAUAAAGAGUAAUCCAUUCUUGAUAUAAAUGUCUUUAACUAUUUUAAGUAUUUAUAUGUAGUUUUAAAAGAAAUGCUUAUUAUUAUAAGUAAAUAAUAAAGGUAUUUUGUCCAAAGAUGAUGAAAAAAAAUGAAGGGUUAGAUAUCCAAAUUUGGGUUUUAAUGAUCAUUUUAAUCAAAUAACCUUUAAAAAAAUAUUAAAAAAAUAGUAACAAAACUACUAAACUUCCCAAUUUUAGAAAUUUUUUCCCCUUCAAACUUGUCCACCAGACCAUACUUAUAAUUAAUCAUAAGUAACAAAUUUUAAAAGCCUUAAAAAAUGAAUAAGUAACUCAUACUAUACUUCAUCAAAGAUAUCAUUUCAAUUUAUAGUAAAGUUUUAUGAUUUAUAAAUUUCAUUUUUACCUUAUUUUUAAAUUGUUACAUCAACAAAAGCUUUAAUACUAACAAUGUUUGUUUGAUCAUGUAAACGAGAUAAUCAUUUCACCAUAUUAUAGAUAAUAUUAUAAUGAAAGAACCAAAUAUAAUUGGGAAUCUUCUAUUUUUAUUCACAUCUUUAUCUACGUCGUAUAAUAUUUAUAAACACAUCUCAAUUUCAUAACAUUUUUUUGAAUAUCAUAAUAAUAUAUCAAUUUAUAAAAUAUUUUUUAUAUAAUUAAAUUUUACUAAUUAGAUAUUUGGGAAACUUUCCGAUAUGCUAUUCUUUAUGAUCACUUUUAUUAUUGAGCAAUCUAACACUCUUACUCAAAAUGUUCAAUAUAGCAAAAAUAGACCAAAAAUGUUAAUUAUCUCACAUGUUAUUAUACGAUUUUAAGCAAGUAGAGAUAAACUAAUAAUAACUAAUAAGAACCCCAUUUGCAAUAUUUGGAUUAUAAACAAAUUAGUGCCACGUGUCAUCUUAGUAUUUCCUUAUUUAUUUACCUAUUAAAUGUCUUGACCACGUGUUAUUAACCAAUUUUAUGAAAGGUCCAAAACUCCCAAGAAUAAUAUGCAAACUUUAAUGGCACUUUUGGUGGUGAAAGAGAGUAUAAAAAAAUUAUUAAAAAUAAUUAUUUUUUCCUGUUUGAUUUUAUCAUAAAUGAUGUAAAAGAAAAAAAAUUAAAUAUAAGUAAAAUCAUUUUUAAAAUUUAUGUAUUUUAAAAUCAUUUAAUCAACACAUUAAAUAAAUUAUUAUUAUUUUUUCUUUCAUUUCACUUUUUCUAUUAUUAAUUAAGAUGGUGUUUGUUUUUUGUUUAACUUUUUUUAUUUAGAUAAAAAUUAUUUAUUGAUAUCACUCAACAUAACUAAAUUGAAUCAACUAAUAAUAAAUUCAUUUUAAUUAUAUUAGUUGAUAUCUUUAUUAAACUAAAUAUUUUGAUUUUUUUUAUUCAAUUAAAAUAUAAACAAUAGCAAUCUGAAUUUCUCAAAAAAAAAAAAAAUUCAUCAAUAUUUUAUAUUUUUUGCAUCUAAAAAUUCAGCCAAUUUCAUUAAAUCUUAUCUCCCCAUAAUUUCGAAGGGUGUAUAACUCUAUUUGGUAAUAGUUUUUAAAAAUAUAUUUUUUUAUUUUUUAGAAUAAAAAAACAUGCUUAGUAAUAAAAAAAAAUAGAAAACAAUUUUAGAUAUUUUAAAAUAAGAAAAAUAUAUAUUUUAAAAAAAUAUUUUUAAUUAUUUUCACUUAUUAUACAAGAAUUGUUUUAAAAAAUAAUUACACAAAAAUAAAAAAAUGAUUAAAAUUGAACUCCUAUAUAUUAAAAUUAUUUUUAAAAUAAAUUUUAAAAUAUAAAAAAAUAGAUUAAAAAUAUUUUAAAUUCAUAAAUAGAAUUUUGUUUUACAAAAUAUUAUGAAAUAAUUUUUAAAAACUAUUUUUUAGAGUUAUUUUUAAAAACAAUCUGUUUUCGAUAACUGUUUCAGAAUUGUUUUGGAGAUCACUCCCCAAACAGUGGCUAAUAAUUUGUUUUGUAUUGGAGUAAACAAGAGAGAUAUAAUGAAGAUGAUGGACGGAAAUGGCAUUGUUAGCAAAGAGGAGGCUACAUGCAUCAAAUGGAAGAGAGCCACUGACUUGAAUGCAUCUUGUCUUGUGUGCCAAGUGCCAAGUGCCAAGUGCCAAACCCACUACCACUGCCACAUGGUUGGUCUACAUAUUCCUAGAUUUUUCCUACCUCCCUCUUCCUCCUUAUUUAUUUAUUUAUUAAUUUAUUAAUGUGAAAAUCUAAAAUUUAUAAUUUAAUAAGCGAGGAAUAAACUAAAAUAUAAAAGUAACUGUUUUCAAAAACAUUUUAAAAAAAUAGAAACUCUUUGGUUAUGUGAUUUAAAAACGGUUUUCUGUUUUUAAAAAUAAAAAAAUAUUUUUAAAAUUUAUAAUACUAUUUUACGAUUGUUAUUUGAAAACAAUUUUUAAAAAUAAAGUGAAAUAAAAAACAAUUUUUAUAGAAUAAGUAUAAGUUAUUUUCACUGAUUUUUUAAAACAAAACGAAAACCUUGGUCCGUUUAAUCAUAUUUACUUAAACUUGUUUUUAAGAACCGUUAAAAAAACAAGUUUUAGAAAACAUAAUUAAACGAACUCAUAAUUUUUUUAAAUAGUUUUUUUUGAAAAUUUUUAUCAUUUUUGUAAAAUAAAAGUCUAUUGAAAAACUUAAAAUAUUUUUAACUUGUUUUUAAUAUUUUUAAAUAUAUUUUAAAAAUAAUUUUUACAAGUAUUUUAUUUUUAAUCUUACUACAUAUUUAUAUAAUUAUUUCUUAAAACCAAAUAAAUGAAAAUAACAUAAAAACAACUAAAAUAUAUUAUCUAAAAACUUAUAUUUUAUGUUUUUAAGAAUAAAAAACAAAAAGCUGUUUUUGGUUUUUAAACAUAUUUUCUGUGUUUUUUGUUCUGAAAAACAAAAAUUGUUUUAAAAAAUAAUUUUCAAACAAACCAUAAUUAGGGAUGGCAACGGAGCGGGUUCGGGGCGGGGCGCCCCCCUCCCAACCCCGCCCCAUUUAUUUAAACCAAUUCCCAUCCCCGUCCCAUUUAAAAAAUUAAACGGGGCGGGGCGGGGCGGGUGGGUAUGCUACAUUCCCAUACCCGCCCCGUUUAACUUUUUAUUUAAUUUUAAUUUUAAUUUUUUUAAAAAAUUACUUUUAAAUUUUUUUAAUUAUAUUAAAAUAAAUAUAUUUUAUAAAUAAUUAAAUAAUUAUAUUUUUUAUAACUUAUUUUAUUAAAAAUAAUUUUUUAUUAUCUAUAUAUUAAAAAUAAUAAAAUAAAAAUUAAAUUAAAUUAAUUUUAAAUUUUAAAUUAAAUUAAAUUUUAAUUUUAAUUUUAUAUAUAAUCGGGGCGGGGUGGGGCAAUACCCGAACCCGCCCCGGGUUUCAAAAAAAAUCCCAAACCCGUCCCAUACCCGUUUAGAAAAAUAAUAUCCCACCCCAUUAGGGGCGGGGCGGGGCGGGUACCCGAAAUGACCCGCCCCAUUGCCAUCCCUAACCAUAAUUAUUAAAAAAAAAAUCAUUAAACUUCUUUGUCAGAAAAAUGUCUGAGACAGUACAUAGGCACUAAAGUCCAGUUCAUUUAAAUUUAUUUAAUAGAUGAAAUGUACCAAAGGUAAAUUUAAUGGAAUGAGUAUUAAUGCCUCUGAAUCCAAUUCUUGAUGGGUUCAAAAUUUUGGGUGGCCAGUGUCAUGGCCUUCCUUUUCCUUUUUCCUUCUUAAUUAGUUAAAGUAUAUGCCCUUAAAUUUUAUAUUGUGAAGGAGAACAUCCUAGUACAGUCAUUUGACCACAUUUGGCUCUUUGGUCUGGUUCUUUAUAGAGAGGAAUCGUCAAGAUUCUCAAUCUUCCAUGUUCAAGCCAUCAUUCAGUCAUUUGACUUUGAAUUUGAACCCACAUUUGGCUCUUUGGUCUGGUUCUUUAUAGAUAGGAAUCAUCAAGAUUCUCAAUCUUCCAUGUUCAAGCCAUCAUUCAAGGAGAGAUAUUUUGGUACCCUUUGUUCUUUGAAUGUUAUUUAAACCAUAUACCUGCUUUUACAUUGUAAUUUAGCUCAGGAUUUUGAAAAAAAUUUAUAGCAAUUUUAAAAAAUAUUUAUUAAAUCAUGGUAUAUUUGUUUUAUUCAUACCUAGGGACCUAUUUAAAAGAAUGUCGUUUGGAUGACUCAUCCUUGAGCUUAAGAGCAACAUUGUUGCAACUCAAUAUGAUGCUUUGCUUGAACCAACGACUUUUGGCUCUGAUAUCAAUUAUGAGAUCGGAUUAUGACAAUUUUAUUUGAAAACCAAUUAGUAUUCAAUGAGGGUAAAUUAAACCUUUUAUGAUAUUUGACAUUAUACCUAGCAAUUUAAAAGUCAAUCCAUCCACCCCAACAAAAUUAAUUAAGAAUAAUGACAUAAAAGACAUAAGAGUGAAUUUAUAUGAAAAUUGAGGAUAAAAUUAAUCUAGAAAGAGUUUUAAUUUGAAAAUUUAAAAAGAAAAGUAUUUUCAAAUAAUAAAACAAUUUGGAAAAUAAUUUUAUAUUGAAAAUUUAAAAAUGAAAUUUUUUCCAAAUCUUUGAAGAGAUUUUGAAAGGAAUUUAAUUUAGAUAUUUUAAAAAAAAUGUUUCUAAAUCUUUUUGAACCUAUUCAAAAUCCUCAUAUGGGUCUUAAGUUUCUGAAAUUUUUUUUUUAGUAAAAUAUAAAAUCUUUCCAAAUUUUUUAAGAGUGUUAAGUUCUCUAUUUUUUUUUUAAUAAAAUAUGAUUUCUAAAUUAAUUUUAAGUCCAAGUUUUUUUAUUUUCAUGUGCCUAAACUCGGUGUUUGGUAUUUUCAUUCCUUAGGUGAGUAAUAGAGGUUUGCAUGUCUUAGGAAUAAUAUAGGUCACAUAAAUCUAUGUAAUUUUUCUUUUAAUAGUGGAUUUGUAUUUGUAGGAGACUUUUAUGGAUGGUUUUCCAUGUAAAUCAUUGUCUUUUAGUGUGAUUGAGUUUCUCUACUUUAUCUUUAAUUCUUAAAAAUAAAAAUUUGAGUAAAAAAAAAAUAACUACCUUUUCACCCCUUCUAUAAGCACAUACACACAAAUUAACUCAAAUCUAAUAAAUUUCAUUUUGGAAAAUAUUUUUGAAUUAAAUCGAACAUGAUAUUUCAAAUUAAUUUUAAAUAACCAUACUAUUCAUAAAGUCUUUGAAUUUGAAUAUUAACACAAUAAUCAAACCUAAUAUGAUUUCCUUUCGAAUACAAAUAAUAGAAAAUCUUAUAAAGCAUUCUUAUCAAAUUCUUUAUUUACUUUCAAAGUAAUUUUAAGAAUAAUAAAUAGAAGAAUAAACAAUUUAAAUAAUAACAAAAUGAAAAUGAACUUGUGGUAUUAAUGUGGAAAUUAUGAAUAUUCAUCUUAGGGUUAGCUUGAGUGCAAGCUUUUGAAACCCAUUGAAUCCUUUUUCUUUCUAUAUUAAAAAUAAAUAAAUAAAUAAUGUCUUAGACUCCAUAACGAGCUUGUUAAUUUUUCUAUGAAAUUCUUCAAACUUGCUAUUACGACCCAUGUCACUAGUGUGACCAUUUCUAUGAUAAAAACAAACAUAUGACAUGGUUUACAAUAAAAAUUACCUUCUUAAUCUUAACAAAAUUAGUAUUCUUAGUAUUAGUAGUAAAUUCAUCAAGACAUAUUAGACCUCUCUUAUUUGUAGUGAACUUCUCUUUUCUAAUGAUUUUAUUUAAUACCUUAAUUCAUGGAUAGAAGACUUAUAACAUUUUCUAAAAACCGGGCAUGUUUGGGAACUGUUUUCAAUAAUAGUUUUAUGUUUUCUAGAACAAAAAAGACUAGAAAACACAUUUGGCAACCAAAAACUCUUUUUUGUUCUUAGAAAAUAGAAAACAUGAUAUUUUCAAAUAAUAUUUUUUAAUUUUUUUCACUUGGUUUUUUAGAGUUGUUUUAAAAGAAAUAAUAAUAUAAACAUAUAUAAUGAUUAAAAAUAAAGUUGUGGAUAUAAAAAUUAAAAUAGGUUAAAAAUAUUUUAGGUUUUCAAAGGGACUUUUGUUUUACAAAAUAUUAAAGAAUAAUUUUCAAAACUAUUUUAAAAACCAGUUACCAAACGAGGUCCUAAUUUUUCAAGAAAGGGUUUUUUUUUUUUUUUUUUUUCAUCUUUUGAUAUCUUAUUCUCAUUUUUUAAGGAUACAAACAUAAAAGUCAUUUUAAUACAUUUAUUCAACAAACUUUGAUAUGCUCACCCAAAUCAUUCUCAUCAUAAUUACCAUCACCAAAGGCACCACAAUCAAAUGCAAAUAGAAUUAACAAAAACUAGUUGGCGAUUUUAAUCAUUCCUAUUCUCACCCAAAUUCGAUGAUUUACUUUUACUUGACUUGUAAUUACUCCAAAUUUAAGGUUUGAAAUGUUCUACACUCAUACACCAAUUGAAAGUUUAAAUCUUGCUUAUGGAAUACGUAAAAAAAUGGUGAAUAAGUUGUUAUUUCUUUUUAAUCUAAAAUUUUAUUUUUUAAAUUUCUCUUUAAAAAUUAAAGAUAAAAGAGAUAAAUUCAAAUACACCAAGACUGAUUUAGGUUGAAAACCAUCCACAAAGUCUCUACCUUUAUGGGCGUAAAAACAAUAAGGCUAGAGUUCGUGCUGUUAUAAUUAAUUAAAUAUGAAAAAAAAAUUAGUAUAUAAAUUUACUUUGAGGGUAAAGUCCACUGUACUCCUCAAUGUACUCUUCUAUAUCCUUUGGGAGAAUGCAAAUCUCUCUCAUGAGCCUAAAAAAAGAAAGAAUUUCUAACAAUAAUUUAAAAACCUAAGAAUUUUAUAAAUAUUUGGAAAAAUCUUAUGUUUUAUAAAAAAAAUAAUAAUAAUAAUUUGAGAAACUUAAUACCCUAGAAAGAUUUGAAAAAAAAUUCUUUUCUAAGAUAAAAAAGAUUUAGAAACAUUUUGUUUUUUAAAUUCUUAAAAUAAAUUCCUUUCCAAAUUUCUUCAAAGAUUUUGAAAGUUUUUUUUUUAUUAUUAUUAAUUCUCAAGUUAAAUUCUUCUCCAAAUUGUUUUUAUUAUUUAGAAAGAUUUUACUCUUUACUUUAUAGUGGCUUUUAACUUUUAAGUUGAUUUUUCAAAAUUUAAUUAAUUUAAGUAUUAUAUAUUAUAAAAUAUUUUAAAUUUUUAUAAUGAAAUAUAUAAAAAAUUUAUUCAAAAUUUCAACUAUAUGACAUUUAUAACUAAAAAUUUUAAAUUUUUUGAAUUUUUAAAUAUAUAAAAUCUAUAAAUUUAUAUGCGUUAACUCAAAGGUUCUCCUAAUUGCGUUUUAAUGAUAACAAACCAUGGUUAAAUGAUUAAUUGGUUUGAAUUAUAAAGAAUUUCAUGUGUUAGUUUGGAAAUUCAUCAAAGGACCCAAUGGAUACAAGAUCAAAACAUUUGGAAGACCUUUAAUCAUGGGAAACAUAUGUAAAAUGAAUGCAUGAGUACACUUAGUAUUUUCAUAUCUUUUCAUGUAUCUUCAAAAACUUGGUUUAUGCAUUAAAGUAACAUUUCCAUCUAACCCGAGUUUUAUCAAAUGAACCUUAGGCAAAUCGUUUCAAAAUUGACAUAUCCAUUUAUCUAAUGACCUUGUUUAAGUGUUAGAAGAGAAAAUAAUAGAAAAAAAUAGGUUUUCGGCCCAAAAAAUGUGAACCAGUUGAGGCAGUGACUAACCAAAUAGGGUAUCGGUUGACCAGUUAUACUUUCCUGAUUGAUGUUUGGUUGAGAAAUGCAAAAAAUAUCCUCUAUCUUCCAGUAACCUUUCAUUCUCAGUCGAGGGAUAUGCCUUCUGGAUCGAGUUUCGAUUGAUGACUGGUUAAGGACUAACGGUCACCUACCACAUAUUUAUUGCCUAAUGACUAGUCAACCCCCAACUCGACUGAUCAAGGUUGCUUUUUUGGCAUUCGGCUAGAAACCUAUAAAUUGAGAGGUCCACUUCAUUUAUGAGUAAGAGAACACCUAUAUUUAUUUGUUUACCUAUUUGUUCUUACUUUAAAAAUUCUUCUUAUUUUCUUGGUGCAUUAAAUCUCCAUUUGUAUAUUCUUUAGUGCACCUUUGUGAUUCAUCCUAAACUUUUAAUUGUAUUUGAGUCAUUGUUGAGUUAGGUUGAUAGAUUCAAACUUGUUAUUUGAAUGUUAGAAUCUUUAAGUGAGUAGAGACUUGAAAAGAUUGUAUAAGAGCCCAUUGAAGUCGAAAUCCAAGUGUAAAGGUGAUUAAAAGCUUGGUUGAAACUUCAGGUAUACUGGAAUCCUCACUCAGUUACAAGCUUGAGAAGAGUGGACGUAGGCAAGGAAAUGUCAAACCAUUAUAAAAUUUGAGUUUGAUUUCUUUAAUUUUUAUCUCCUUAUAUUUGUGUUUUAUUUGCUUAAAUUUGUUAUGAUUGAGAAAAAAAUUUUAAAACCCAAUUCACCCCUCCACCUCCUUCUAGGAUGUUUUCUCUAUUAAAAUUAGCCUUUAUUUCUCAAAAUGGAUUAAAUAAGUCCAUUUAAUCCCACUAAUUAAAUGAGUUAAAUAAUUCAUAAAGAGAUUGGGUUGUAAAUGAAUCAUUUUGAAAUAGUUAUGUAAACAUUUUCGGUCGAUUGAACAAUCAAAUAUAAAUUUGACCCGUUUCUUAAACGAGUGAUACACGUUGACAGGAUUAUGACACGAGCACUAUUAGAGAAUUAGUAUUGUCAUGUUAUACCAAAAUUAUGAGGCUUAUUAAAAUUAGAUUUCAAAUGAAUAAUUUUUCUAUUAUAAAAAUUGUUAGUGAACUAAAUUGGAAAUUAUUUAAAGUUAGAAAAAGAUUUUUCGAUAUUAUCAUUAAUUUUUUAAAAAAUUGGAAGCUUCUUCCUUUUAAUAAAAUUACUCAUAACGCAUUCAUCAGUCUUUAAAAAUACAACUUUAUACUUGGAAAAGCUGAUCCCAACAAUUCCUCUGUCCUUUUAAGUAUGUGAAGGCCCAAACAACAGCCCAGGACCAAGAUCCCAUGGGCUGAGUCCACAUUGGGCUUAAAAAGAGUAGGCCUCGGUUGAAAUGCCUCUCCAAGCCAAACGACGACGUUUUACUCAAAGUGAAAAAUCUCGGAGCGACAACGAAUUUGUCCACUUAAAACGCGAGGGCUUCACGAAUCUUCCACAAACGCAGAGAGGUAGAGAGAUAGACAGCGAGAGGAGUUGCAGAGAGCAAUGGAGUCGUUAAUGAAGUGGCUUGUUGAUCCAAAGAAGAACUGGUUUGCACGUCAACACAUGAAAACCAUCUCCACGCGCCUUCGCAAAUACGGUACUGUUUCGGUGUCUCGGUGUCUCGGUCAUUCUUUUUGUCCAAGCCCUAAUCUCUUUGACUACAUAAUUUGUCAAAAUUUAUGUCAAUUUUUUUACCAUAGGGUUGAGAUACGACGAUCUGUAUGAUCCGAAGUAUGAUCUUGACAUCAAGGAAGCACUGAAUCGGCUUCCUCGGGAGAUCGUGGAUGCUAGGCAUCAGAGGCUGAAGCGUGCCAUAGACCUUUCCAUGAAACACGAGUACCUAGCCGAGGAUUUACAGGUAUUUUUCUAAUAUUCUCCUAUUUCUUUGUGGAUCCUUUUGAUUGCUGAGAAAAUGAAAGAAGAAAACGGAUUUCUUAUGUGUUAUGCUAUUUUUCCCUUCUUGACCGGUUGGAAAUGAGGAAAGAAAUGCGGAUCUCUCACGUCUUGUGCAUCCUGCGGUGAUUGUUAUUAUUAGUAGUAUUUGGUUUGAUAAUCCGGCAUAGAAAAUAAAUAAAAUUUUGGAUUUUUUUGUCCGACAUUUUUUUAGAGGAAAAUUCGCUUAAUUAAGCUUUGUAUGUGUAUUUUGCUUCAUGGAGUGGAUGGUUUUAUACUUUUGUAAUGCCAGUUUGUUUGGUUGCUGAGAGCUGAGUUAGGAAUGAUGAGACAGGAAACGUUCUAUUCUGUAUUUUGUAUCAAUUUGAUUUUUUAGACUGGUAAGUAGGUUUGUUAAUCUCGAUUGUUUCAGUACGGUGUUUUUUGUUUCACUGCUAUUUGGUCGAUGAAAUAGACUAGAAAAGGAAAAAAAAAAGAAUACUAUUACUUUGUUUUGGUUUCCUGAGGAUUGGAAACUUGCUUGACCUGAUCCAGAAAUUGUUUGGCUAGGUUCUCUGGAGUAUGGUUCUCUCACCCCCACAUUUAGCUGCCAUGAGUCUAAUAUUAUUAUGUUGUUUUGGCUUUUUGGGAAAUGAAAACGAAGAAUUUAGUUCAUGUAUCAAGAGUAUCAUAGUUUAAUUAGUCAUUUUCAAAAACCCAAUUCCAAAUUUUAUUUUCCAUUUAUGUAUACUUGGAUCUUUUCAAAGUGGAGAAGCAACUGCCUAUUGAACUUAAGCAUUCAUCUUCUUAGUUUUACCUUACUAGGGGACUAGUAAAUGCUUUCUGGUAAACCCAAUGCCUCUGCUUUUGGAGUAAUUAAGGGGACAUUUUGGACGUUGAUAGAAAGCUAUUCAUUUUUCUGUAGGCUUGCGUUUCAUCCCCACUUUGGUGUUUUCUUAUAGAUUUUUCUUAAAUGCUUUAAAAAAUAUUAAAUUAUGCCAAUAACUUUCAAUCCCUCAAAUAUUAUACUUGAAAUAGGCUGUUAAAACUUCACUUAAAUGACUUUCAAAAUUCAUCUUACUUGAAAAUGCCUCAAAGAAAAACCUAAAGUUUGUCUACAUGGUGUUGGAAAGAUAUCUGAUUACUGGGACACGAAAUUUUGUACAUGGGUUUGAAUUGUUGCAAUCAUUACAAAAGUAGAGCCAAAACUAUCUGUGGUCCUUGUUCCCCAGCUACUAGAAACCCAUCCAUGUUACAUCUGUGCAAUGAAAUGCACAUUGUUAUAGAACCAGUCUUCAUUAGGAUUCUUGAAUCCUGCUAUUGUUGGGUUCCAUUACAAUUCAGAACACUUUGACAUUGUGUUAACUAAAAAUUAGAAAGUAGAGGACUGUUAAUUUUUAAUUGGAUUAGUUUAAUUAAAAAAAGGGUAAGUAACUGUGUUUGUCUAUCUCUAUUGCAUAAGUUUUGGGUAUUACAUAUUUGUUAUGGUCCUAAAAUUGAAGUGGUCGGAGUAUUGCUGAAAAAAGGUGAUUUUCAGUUCUGUCAAAGAAUCCUCUUGCCAAAUUUCUUCUUUACAUUUAAGGGUAUUGAAAAGUAGCAUGGUGCAUUUGUAAGAUGCAAAUAAUAAGGUUGGUAGCAUGUCAUGCAUUCUCCCGCCAUGUCUCUAUGUGUGUUGUUCCAUGCAUUCAACUUAUCUCAAACAAUCUUUUUCAUUAAUUUCAUGCAUAAUACUAAACAUUUGGAUUACACCCUGUUAAUACAUAAUCAUUAGACAAUUCAUCUUGGUGUUGGUCAAUUUUAAACCUUGAAUGCAAUUGGUGGAUGGUUGGAUGGGGUCGGGUGUGUGAUUGGUUCUUCUGAUUUUUUCUGGUGGUCUGCUGUAUAUAAUAUGUUUCGACUGCAGACUUAUAUGCUUCUCUUACUUUUCUUCACAGGCCAUGCAAACACCAUUUAGGAGCUACCUUCAAGAGAUGCUGGCUCUCGUAAGUGCUUCUAACAACUAAAAUUUUCAGAGUGACCCUAUUGAUAAAAUAUGCCUUCAUUUCUUUUAUUUUUUUGAUAGACUAAAAUAUGCCUUCAUUUCUAGUUGAUUGCUUGCAAUCUGUAAAUAAAUGUUGUUGUUUUAGUCCCUAUGAAUUAUAUUUGCUCAAUGAUGAUACAGUUUACUCUAUAGAAUGUUGCAAAUUGGUAGUCUUAUUUCUAGAACAUUUACUGUUAAUGACUUGUUAAUUGAAGUCCUAAUCUGGACAAAAAUUUUUAUCUUGGUGCUUUCUUCUGUUGGGUUUUUUUUCAGAGUCCAAUGGGCAAACUAAUGAUGAGUUAUUACUUUUUGUUAUUUUCCCAUUGGGAUGGAUUGCUAACUUUUUCAGUGUCAGUUUUACCCCUUUAAUCCAGCUAGCUAUACUGUUUUCACACCCCAAAUUUAUUUGGUAUAAUCUUUGACCUUUUUCCACUAUCAAUUGUGUUUACAUGGGUGCUCACAAACAGAUUUUCAUACGAUUAGUUAGUCUUUGUUAGAUUUUUGUCUUCAUUUGGACUUUAUGACACAGAUUUACUAAUUGCUAAAAAAUAAGGAUGUUCCAACUUACUGUAGUCUUGAGCUAUUUCCCUGGGCUUGGAAAUGACAGGAUAACAGGCCACUUUCUGCUCUGAUCAUCUGAAAGUAUAAACUUGGCAUGUCUUUGUUUCUGUUUUUUGACCAGUUCUGGUUGCUGUCAUGAGUGGUUGUUGUAAACUUGUGAUUCAUGAUAUGAUACAUUUUCUUUAUGGAAAUUGAUGCAUGUUGUAGUUUGUAUCUUAUCUUAAGUGAUCUUACCGUGCAUAAAUUAUUUACAACAUGACACAUAAUACAACGAUAGUUGUUAAAAACUUAUGAUACACGAUAUGAAACAACAAUUUGACACAUUUUUUAUUAAAAUUGAUACGUAUUGCAUUUUGUAUCUUAUUUUAAAGUGUAUCUUAUGAUACAUAUACGAUAUACGAUACGAUACAUGAUGCAAUGAUACAAUGAUACAAUGAUACAUACAUCUUCAACUAUUUUCUAGAAUUUUUAAGAAAAAAAAAAUUGUUAAAAUUUUUUAUUAUAUUAAUUGUUUAAAAUAUACUAAAAGAUUAAAAAUUGAUCAUAAAAAUGAGAAGUAGGUAAAAUAAUCUUAUAGGAAAACAAUAUUUUUUUUUGCCAAAUGCCAUAUUAGAAGUUAAAUAUGUUUAUUUUUUUAAUGAAUUUUGGAGAAUUUUGAAGAUGACACAUAAAGGCAUAUGUAUAUCAAUAACAAAAAAUAAGUGCAUACACAUAGUUAGAAUUUGGAACUAAAUAUCAUAGCUAAAAAUUAAAGCAAUUUAUUGUUGUGUAUUACGUUAUGAAUCUAUAUAUUAAAGUCAUAUUUUGAUAAUUUGAACUUGUUCUGGUAAAAUAAAAUAAAAUUGAACUUGUCAAAACUCUAGCCUUCAAUGUUUCAUAUAAUAUGAUAUAGUUUAACUCUUUAGAUCAUACUAUUUUCCAUAAAAUUGGUUACAUAUUAUUCUAUAUUUCGUACUUUCAAUAGAUAUGCACACAAAUAUGUAUUUUUUCUAUUGAUGUUUCACUAUAUAAAAACACUUACGAUGCCUAAUAUGAUACAAAAAAAUAGAAAAAUGAUACUCGAUACAUAUUACGAGUUAACAACUAUAGAUACAACAAUAUAAAAAAAUUAAACUUUUAACUAUUUUUCGUAAUUUUUAAGAAGAAUUAACUUCAAUAACUUUUUUCUUGAAAGUGGUAUUAUAUUACUUGUUUAAAAUGUAUAGUAUGAUAAAAAAUUGAUCAUAAAAAGGAGAGAUGGUUACAAUAAUCCUACAUGAAAAGUUACAUUCUUGUAGUAAAAAACAAACAUGAAAUGUUGGGAGUAAAUUUAUGUUUAAAAUAAAUGUUGGGGAAUUUGCAUUUAAGUGAUUUGAAUGUUACAUUGAAAAUGAUGGUGAUUGGUAAAUAAAAACUUUAAUAAAUAUGUCAGUUUUUUCUUUUCUGGGUUUUCCUUUUCAGUGGGGAAGGAAUGAUGAAAGACACGAAAGGUUUGAACUUUGGAGAUGACAAUCGAUAACAUAUAUAAGCAGAUAUGUCUGGUUAGAAUUUGGAAUUAAAAAUCAUAUUUUAGAAUUCAAAAAGUUUAUUUUUGUGGAUUAGUGAUAAACCUAUACAUUAAACUAUAAGUUGAACUUUUCAAAACUUUAGUUUCAAUGUUUUCACACGGUAUGAAUCCUACUAUUUUUCAUGAAAUUGGUUAUAUUAUUUUAUAUAUAUUUUUAUUUAUUUUUCAUUUAUUAAUAAACUUACACUCAUGAUAUGAGUACACAAUAUGGAUAGAAAGAUUAUACACAAUAUAGUUUACGAGUUACAACUAUGUUGUCGUGAAGUUGAUUAUAAAUGAUGACAGAGCUCACCUUGAAAGUCAAACUCCACAUGUCAGCUAAUCAUUUAAGGCAUAUUUACUAUGUUGUCUUUUGUGCAAUUCUACUUACUAUCAUGAUACUGAUUAGGGAUGACAACAAAGUGAGGUUUGGAAUGGGCCAACCUUCCCCACCCCAAAAAGAAAAAGAACAAAAAAAGAGAAAAAACAAUCACUAAGGGCCUGUUUGGUUGCUGUUCUUGAAAACAGUUUUUGAGAAUAGUUUUUAAGAACAGUUUUUUGUGUUUUCAAAAAAAAAAAAAAAAAAAAUUGUGUUUGGGAACUGAAUUCUGUAAAACAGUUUUUGUUCUCAAAAACAAAAAAAAUAUGUUUGGUUGAGUUAGUAAAUUUUUUUUUUAGAAUUAAGUAAAAUAAAAAAUCGAUUUGAAAUUUAUUUAUUUUUAAUCAAUAAAGUGUUUUCUUCCAUUAACUUGAUAUUAUAAAUAUAUAAAUAAUUUUCAUUUGCACAAUUCAUUUAAAUUGAAAAAAAUUAUUCAAUUUUGAAAUUUUUAUAGGUGUUAUAAUUUUCUUAAACAAAUGAUGAUUUUGUAACCAUGUAUUAGUAUAUUAAUUUUAAUAAUUUAUGGAAGAAGAAAGGGCUUGCAGGUGGGGGUGUGAUAGUUGGGUGGAACUCACCUUUGUGGAAACAUAAAAAGCAGUUAGGAAAACACAAAAAGGAGAAAGAGAAAACAUGAAAAACAAUCUAUUCUUUGAACAGUGAAAAAACAAUGAAAACAUCUUUUUAUUGUUCUAAAAAAAGUGGUUUUUGAGAACACGGAAAACACAAAAAACAAAAACACACCCCCUUUUUCAAAUAAGUUUUUUGUGUUUUUUGUUUUCAAGAACAGAAAACAGUUCUUGAAAAUAGGAACCAAACAGGCCCUAAGUUAUAGCGGAGCAGGACUUACCUUACUGAGUAGCUAGAGGCCAGUUCGGUGGCCCAUAAGGACUAAAUUUUGAUUUCUGUUCAGUUUCAACAUGAAAUUGGCAUCAUGUAUAACAGUUGGUUAAGAGCUCAUUGGCAACGAGUGCAAACCUUGUAGCUUUUUCUUCUUCUUCUUCCCAUGUAUAGAGUUCUCAACUGAGCAACUGAAAGAUGUACAAUUGUUUCACUUUUUCAUAAUAAGAUGAUGUCAUUGGUCUUAACCUGAAAAAUGACUUUGUUCCUGAGGUGUAUUUGCUUCAUUCCUUGGCCCACAUCAAGAACUUCCUGUAGUCUAUUGGCUUAUAAGAACAACUUUUCGUCAAACACUUGAAUUUAUGCUAAACUCCUGGUACGUGACACCACAAAAAGGAAACAAUACUUUUUAAUUAAUCUUAACAUCAUUAGGGGUGGGUUGAGUUUGGAUGAUUAAAACCAUACCCAUCCUCGUAUCUAUCUUUGCUUGGCACCAAGAAUACCAUCGUUACUCUUGGUGAUGUGAAAAUUUUAAAUAAGUCUUGUUCUAGGUCCAGUCAAUUACACAUUGCUGUGAAUGUGAAAAUUCUUCUCUCAUUCUGAAUUUCUUCAUUCUGUUCCUUAUUAUUUCCCUUCAACUAAGCUGCUCCAUAUUUGUCAGGAGCUUUUACUAGGCAAUGCCCCUGUUGAGAAGCAAGGAUGGGCUUAGACUUGGAGUUUUAGAGCAUAGAUGUCAUUUGUCAACACAUACCCUGCUGGUUAUGUAGACAAUCACCAGAAGCACUUGUCAUAUACAAGAUGCCACAAUUUGUAGUUACACAUUGCACUUUUGAUGUUGAAUUGCUUGCUCAUUUAGUUUAGCAAGCAGCAUGCUUUUCUUAGCAAUUUAUUGUGUGAUGAAAUAUAGAAUUGAACGUUUGAGGAAACUACUAAUUAGAGCUCAGCUGCAAUGCAGGCGGAAAGAAAAGAAAUGCUUGGAUCUUGUUUUUACCGUUGUAAGUCAUCAUGAGUAAUAGGCAGUGUCAAGUCAAAAUAAAAUCUCUUGCUGCUUUUGUUGUGCAGGUAAAGAGGGAGAAUGCAGAACGUGAAGCUUUGGGAGCGUUGCCCCUCUACCAGCGAACUCUUCCCUGAGCAUCUGCCAUCUACCGCAGCUAUUCACCCAUUUGAGUAUUAUCUUUAAAUGAAUUUAAGGAUAAUGGUUUUUGGUUCCUGGAGGAAGUUGAAAGGGAUUGUCCGACUGCUUCAAAAGUUUAUUUUCCUUAUUUAAUUUCCGAUAUUGAAUGGUUUUUGGUAUUUGGUUGUGAACGAAUGGCAGUCUAUUUGUUUUUAAACUAAUAAUAUAUGAUCCAACUAUCAACUUCCAUAUAAUCCAUUUUGUUUCCAACGCUGAUGCUUUUUACUUCACUCCUAUCACCUAUGCCUUCUCUCUAACAGUACUUGGGUUGGCUGGCUCCAAGGUUAGGUUGUGGAAUUCCUGACUAUUUGCUUAUGUUGUCUAGCAUCACUUGUGCAAAAUGUACAAUUCAAUUCGUCUUUGCUGAAGAUUGGGCUUCUUGAACUUGUUUUCCCAUUGGCCCCUCCUUUCUGACCUUCCUUUUAACUCGAAUAAAAAGUGAAAAUUAGCUACGGAGUAUAAAAUGGCAUUACGACAUUGACGUUGAGGGUAGUCAUCUAUUCUUAUAGCGUUAUACCCAUUCAAAAUUUCCAUAUGAUCUAUUUUUAGGAUCUGAAUAAUAAUCGUUCCUGAAAACAGUUUUUUGUAUUUUAAAAUAAGAAUCUGGUGUUUUAAUUUUCAAAAGGAUCUUUCACAAGUUUUUGAAAGAAAACAAUUUUUUUCUUUUUGGAAUUUGUUCUCAUGACAUAAUUAUAUUUUAUAAUAAUUAUGAAAUUUAGAAAUUAUUUUAAAUAUUUUAACAUUAUACCUAAGUGUAUAAUAUUUUUAUAAAGAAUAAACAAAGAAAAGGUUGAUUUUCAAAUUUAGGUUUUAAAACUAAAAAUUGUUUUUAAAAAUAAUUAAGAAUUAUUUUCAAAAUUUUAUUUUCUGAAUUUUAUUUUCUGAGAACUAUUUUUAAAAACAGGGCAAAACAGAUCCCAAACUUAUUUAGCUUGGAAAUAUGUCAAAGACCAUGACAGCCUGCUUGGGACAGUAGGUGUGAUGUGCGGGAGCAAUUAAUUAUAAUUUAGCUUCCACAUGCAUAUAUAUUCAUGUUACCCACUUUAAUGAUCAGCCCCUACACAAAGCCCCUCCCUUUGAUCCUAUUAUUGUUUUUUUAGUAUUUUUACUCAGCAUAUUUUUAUUGAAACAUUAUUCCUUCAAAGUAAAAGCAAAAGUAAAAGUAAAAGCAAAUGGCUUGUGUGGGUAUUGUAUUUUUCACGUGUAUUUUCAUUCAUAGUAAAAUUCAAUUUUUAUUAUGAAAAUUUGAAUUUUUUUAAAAAUAAUUUAAGUCAUCAUUUAUUUUUAUUUUAUUUAAAAAAAAAAAAAAAAAGAGAAAACCAUAAAUAUAACUCUAUCAGGAAAAGACAAAUCUACGAAAAAAUACUCCCAAUGACUCGAAAUAAGGAUCUACACCUUGAUUCCUUGAUUACCUACUAUUAUUAUACCCACUGACUUAAAAUAAAACUUUCAUUUCUUUUCACCCUUGAGAAUAAAACAUAAAAAAUAAAAAAUAAAAAAUAAGGAUACAUAUCCGUCCAACUUAUCAUCUCCUUCAAGUGUUUACUGCAGAGUGAGGGACCCGUGAGAGUGAGGAUCCCGAACGAGUGGCUCCUAACCCUACAAAUACAAGGCAAGGGGCGUAGCCAACCUCCUCUCCUGGGCUGACUCAAUAAAUGCGUGCAUGUGCUGCAUCAUGCAUGCAGCUUCCCUCAUUUGCAAUUUGUUCAACUGCACCUACCUUGAAGGUGAUGGAUUGCACGAAUCCCAUAGAUGCUUCCCUUUACAUUCAUCCAAAAGGACUCCCAAUUAAAUGCCAUCCUUCAAACGAAACAGAAUUAUUACAUAGUGGAUGUAGUCAUAAUUUUGGUGGUCUCAUCCUUCAAACUGCUUUUAUUGUUUUCAUUACUUUCCAAAUCUGCCUAUUUAUUGCAUACCUUACAUACUAUGUAAAUUUUUUAAAUAAGGACUCAUGAAGAGAGCAUACUGCCAUACUUUAUUGAAUAAAUAGGAAGUAAAAAUUAAAAAAUAAAAAUAAAAUAAAAGGUUGACAUCCUUUGUCCUCAUCAAGGGAGAGAGAUGAGGUGAUGGGGGUGGGGUGUGACCCAUUGAGGGGUAGGGAAUAAAUUCAGCUAAAGCAAAAUCUAUCUACUAUUGAACAUUCCAUGUGAUAUCAUGAGCCCAUGCUUUAAUGGGAGGCCUCUUCUCUCUAUUUAAUAAACCCAUCUUCCUCUUUGUCUCUUCAAGUUAUAUCAACAAAUAGACUCCUCUUCAUUGCCUAUAUGCCUAUGGUUUUAACAUAUCAACACCCUAUUGGAAAUUCAAAAAUCCCACAAACUUCCAUGGCUUCAAACCCACAGACAUAUCUUCAAAAACAAUGAAGUUCAAAUCUCUAGCCUGGGCAAUAAGCCCUCUUGCAUGUCAAGAAGCUCCUCAAUGAUUUCCCACCCUUAGAAACGAUAAUGAGCACAGAUUUUUUCAAGUACUCGUCCCACCCCUCUUCUAAUAAGAAAUUUGUUGGAAUGGGAAUGACCCCUCGAACUGCCAUCCCUACUUGAUCACCUUCUCCUAAACACGUACAUUCACGUGUUUAGGAAUGCAACGGCUAGAAUUUUCUAGCUGUAUUUAAGUAUUAUUUUUAGAAAAAAAAAACUAAAAAAAAACAACCAGUGCAUUCAUUUAAUGUUAUCUUAAAUCAGCCAUACACAAAUAAAUGAAUGCUCAGCUUUAUGUUCUAAGACCUUCCCCUGUAGUUUAGGCUGCAGUUGAGGCAUGAUACCAAAUAAAUUGAACAUUUUAAGCACAGAGUAUGGAGAAAUCAAGGGGCAGAGGUAUGAAUGAAAAUAUUUGGCUGGUGGAGGAAUGAUAGAAUUCUAUGAGCAUUUCAAAAAUUAAUAUCUUAUGAUAUAUUGGAAUCUCUUACCAUAAUUUUCCAUAAUUCAAGUGUGUUUUAAUGCUCCAAAGUUGGAUGAUACAUAACCUUUAUAAAAGGACUACAUAGCUAUACAUGCAUUACCAUUUUCAUUAUUAUUUUGAUUUUGAAGGAACUUGAGCAUUGAAGUUUGUUCUGAUUAUGAUACCGAAGAGAUACCUAUUGAAAAGCAUGAUCGGAGUAUAUCAUUUAAAUUUCAUUGUUUUAUACCAUGAUGUUAUUCAUUUGCACACAAUCUCAAUUUUUAUACGUUAGUCUCAUCAUUUGUAUUUUCAUCUAAAAACCUAAAUUUUUCAUACAUAUUGAAGUUAUAAAAAAUUGAACCAUCAAGAGAAUAGUCUACCUCAAAACCUGAAGGUGAUGUGCAAAUCCAUCUCACCCCAAAAUAUAAGGGUCAUAAAAAGAUAUGACUUCCACACUUGCAGGUUGACCUGACCGAUCGACCUACACCUAAAAAGGUGAACACAACUGCUCUUAUUCUCAUAUGCCUAAAAGUCAAUAAAGUAUAAAAAGUCUGGAACAAUCUAUAGUAAUAAUAGAGCAAUGGACUAUAUAAAGCCCUCACCAUGAAGUAAUAAGACAUAAGAUAGCUUCCGUAAUCACUUAGAAAUUGGUGUAAAAAUUCUCAUAAAAAUCCUCCCCUUGUGGGAAAUUCUUCCCUAUAUCUGGUAAGGUAUAAUGAAAUUUUAGUUAUCCUAAAAGAUUUUGAGCAUCUUCACACAUGACACAUCUAAUAUUGAAGAUGGGGAAUUUAGCGGUAUCUCUUCAAUUAGAUUUUUCAUUUUUUUUUUCUUUUUUCCUAAAUGUGAGACCCCGACCCCAACUAAUAAAUGGGGGAAACAUGGGAGGGAUGGGAGUAUGAAUGAGUAGAUAGUGGUUAGGAUGUCAAUCUCCAAACAACGAUUUGUGGUAGGGUUGAAUUAGCAAGUGAGUUGGAUACACCCAUCUCAAUCAUCUGCAAUCCAUUGAACCUUCAUCUUCUCAUAUGUGUAGUCAGCUUCUGUGGAAUUGAGAAGCAACAAGAUAUAUAUGGUGUAUCCUUAUGGAUCCUCCCUCUUUAAUUGCUAUGUAUGACUGCCCAUCGCCCAAAAAGGGCACAAAAAGUUGGGGGAAAAUUUCUAUGAUGUAUUAUUGGUCAUGUUUGAUAAUGAAAAUGACCUAAGAAUCUACUAUAUACCAUUUAAAUUCUAAUUUGACCUUGUUCCAUACAAGAAGUAUUUUUAUGCUAAUAUCUUGUUUGGAUUGAUGUUUGAGAAGUAAAAAAGUUGCCUUUUAAGCAAAAUUUGUCGUCCCAUGGAAUAAUUACUCAUGACUAACUAAGAAUUUUAUUGUCCCGCAGAAUUAGUAAUUAUUUUUUAUGGACAUCCAACAAUUAGACCCCAAAUAUUCGUUUGUGAGUAUAUAACGUAAAGAUACUCAAAAUUUUUUAAAUUAGGUUAUAUUAUAAUAUCUUGUCAUGUCGAUAUCAUGUAUUUAUGUUAUACCUAUAUUUCAUGACAAAAAUAAUAAUUUUGGAAAUGUCUAUGUAUACUUUACUAGUGACAUUAAUUUUGACACAUCAUAUUAGCAUAAUCAAUCAAUGAAAUUGCUUAAUAAUUUUUUAUUAAAAAAUUACGAGUCUUCUAAAUUUAAAUUAGUAUUUUUUUUAAAAAAAAUUGAUUCAUAGUAUAAGUAUAUUAGUGAGUAUAAUAUAACAAACAAAAUUGUCAGUUGCAUAAAAAAGUUCAAAAUCUUUUAAAUUAGGUCUUGUUAUGAUGUAUUAUGAUAUAGUGCAUUUUUGUCAUCUUAAUAAAUGUUAUAAACAAAAAUAACUUUGAUUUAUAACGUUUUCUUUUCAAUUAUGCUCCCCAUUUAUAUAAUUAUUUUUUAAAAAUAACCAUAAAAUAAAAUUAACUAAAAUAUGUUAUUGUAAAUACUCUAUUUUAUAUUAUUUUAUAAAAAUUAUUUUCUACUUUCUAAUUAUCAAACAUUUUUUUUACGAGUUUUCUUCUUAACAUACCAUUAGUUCUAAGAUGUGAUUGAAUUAAAUGAUGAAGCUAAAUAUCGGAAAUGUUCAUAUGGAAUUGAUUGACAUUACAUUUUGAUCGAUACUUUUCAUUACCUACUUGCUUAUGUCUAUGUCCCCAUGACCAGGUAAAGGAAUUCAAAUUCUUCUUUCAAAAUUUUAAAUGGUUUCAUGUUUUCGGAUUUUUUUUUUUCCCUUUUUAUAUAUGAUUGUAAUAUAAAAAUACUAAAGAAAAUAAAAUAUAAUUAAAAUAAAAUUAAAAAACAUUAUAUAUUUUUAAAUUAAAAUAAAUAAAAUGAGUUUUAAAUAACAUAUAAAAAUUAUUUUAUUAAUUUUAAAUUUAUUUUACAUUUUUCUAUGUUUUUUUUUCUAUUUUUUUGCCUAUUUUCUUUAAUAUAAUGUUGACUGAAAAUAAAUAAAUCGAUUGACCUCAAUCUUCAACGUCAUCUCCUCAACUUUAUGCAAAUCUGCAACUCUUUUUCUACCAAACACCCCCACAGGGAAAUGCGAGAAAGUUGGUACCACCAAAGGAAACCCAAGUGGAUAUCAUUUUCUGGCGUGCCAAACACCCCCAUUAGGACAGUGGUACUUUGUCCACAUCAGAUCCUUAUCUGGAGACAAGCGCAUUUAAAGCCAACCCACGUGGCAGUCUCACCACCCUCCGAUUCUUAAAAGAGCGUCGGUUGCUUUGUCCCUUUCCACCCCUUCCAGCUCAGUUAUCCUCAAAAAUAUAUGUAAUAAAUAAAUAAAUAAAGGACAAAAAUGAUGUCACGUAAUCAGCAACAAAGGCUUGGACCGUUUUUUGACUUUCAACAUCGCACGUGACCGCCGCCUUUUAUUCGAGGUUCGGCGAACGUCGUCGCUUUGUUACGUGUCUAAAGCAAAGUACACGUGGCACUCUCUUUUGAUCUGCAUUGCCAAUAAUAGUUUAAAAUGCAAUCAAGUGCCAGCUGGGCUGACACUGGACAACUGUUGCGUCACCACUUCACAUUAUUUAACUAAUUGACGUAUAUACCCUCAAUCCAGAAUCCAAUCCUUUUUUAGGUCCAUCUUCUAACCUAUAUAACAUUUAAAAUGGGUUAAUUUCACUUACUCCGUCAGGUUUACCAUUCAUUUCAAAUUAAGAGUGUGUUUUAUAUGUUUUUAAAAAUAUUUUUCACCCAAAAAGUGUUUUUAAAAAAUAUUUUUCACCUAAAAAGUGUUUUUAAAUAAAAAAAUUAGAUCUUUAAUAAAAUUUAAAAAAUAUUUUUAAAAUUUAGAAAAUUACUUCUAGCAUUAAAAAAAUUACUUAUAAUAUUGACUUAUCGAUUAAUUCUUAUUUUUAAAUAUUAUAAUUGAUUUAUAAAAUUAAAUUAAAAUUUAUUUUAAAUUAUCAAUUUAAUAUAUUUAUUCUUAUAAAUUAUAAUUAUAGUAAAAGAGAUUUCAUAACACUAAAGGAUCGUGAAGUAGCAAAAGAUAUUUGAAAAUAAUUAUGAAAAAUAGGGAUAAAAAGGUAAAAUAAAAAUAUGAAUUUAAGAAUAAGUUAAUUGUUUUUACUUACUACUUAAAGUUGUUUUUAUUUUACCAAAUAUACUUAAUUUACUUAAUGACUUGAAUUAAAUUAUUAAGUUACUUUAAGUUAUUAAAUUAAUUUACCAAAUACACACUAAUUAAAUUAACCUUGAAAAAAAUCUCAUAAUAAUAAUUGAAUUUAUUGCAUUUAAAGCAAAUAAUCUUUAUAAAAAGGAUAAUAAGUCACUAUAAAUUGUAUUAGAAUAGAUCAUUGAUUAAUGUGAAUACUUACUUAUUUUUAAAUUUGUAUAUCAUCUUUGCAUUAUAUAUGUAAUGAGUUUUUUUAAUUAUAUAAACAUAUGCGACAUUUGUUUUUUUAUUGAAUAAAAAAUAUUAAAAUAUUUAACUUUUUUUAUUUAAUUAAAAAUAAUCUAUUAAUAUCAACUAAUAUUAUCAAACUAAAUCUAUUAAUAAUAAAUUCAUUUUAAUAAUAUCAGUUAAUAUUAAUAUAUUACUUUUAACUUAAUAAAAAAAAGUUAAAUAUUGUAAUUUUCUUAUUCAAUUAAAAAACAAACAAAUUAUUUUGUAAAAAAAAAUAAUAAUUCAAAACAAUUCACAAGUAGCUAUGGAUGUAGAAGAUGGGUCUUGAAGUUCAUGUAUAAAUCCAAAAUGUUGUUCUUCAUGGGUUGUAGUCAAAUCUAGUCCAUGAUAUGACAUUUCUUGGGAGAAUGGGUGGUUGCUAUUUAUUUAAUUUUACUAAGCAAUCAUUCUUUUACGGACAUUAAAAGGAAAAAAACAAAUCAAAUUUUCAGACAUAUCUUUCUAUAAUUAUUUUCAAAUUUUGGAUUUAUUUUAUAUUGGUCACAAGGAGCCGACAAGGGUAUAUGCGAGACAGAGUUUGGAGGGUAAAAAUAGUAAAGAUGAUGGGAAGAGGGUAGAUCUCAGUGACGGGGAAAAAGGAAAAUGCCAAAAAGGGUAAGGACACAGGGCCCUUGAUCUGCGGCCUGGGCUCGGUCGUCCACAUGCGCUUGGAGAGUCAUGGUUUUGAAGAUGAGGCUGAGAUUUGAGUCGGCCCGCCCCACAUUUUGUGAUUAAUUAUUUAUCAUUUUAAAGAAAAGAACAGAAAAGAAGGGGGGCGUAGGACAACAUGGGUGGUUCCCAUGAAAGCCCAGGAACAGGCCACGAUCGUGAGAGUUUCGAUUAGGUCAGCUGGAUUUUCAGUAUCCCUCCGCCCUCUUCUCAUGGGCCCCCCUUUGCCCCUUUUUUCUGGCCCACAUCGCUCGUGGUAUGUUUCCUUACCUUUAGGGGCUUUUUUGUCUUUUGGUUUUCGGGCCGGGUCGUCUUUCCUGGUUAAUAGACCAUGGUUACCUAUCUGAUUUGAUGUCUGCUUAGGAUGGUAUUAUUAAUUUUGUCCCGAAAUUACUAGAAUAGACUUCCAUUUCGACAAUUUUACACUUUUUUUUUGGCCUUUUAUAUGGAUUGCUUUUCCUACGAGGUUAUUUGUCAGAUGUUCUUCCAGCAGCGCCGAAAGUUUACCAUAAAAAUAAUAUUUUUUUUGAAAAAAAACUAAGCCCCGGUUGAUUUUGGAUUCUUUAAGUUAAUCUGAGUUUGAAUUGCAUAAUUUAAAAUCUCUUUAUAAUAUUAUUUUAAUAAAUUUAUAUGAAAAUUUAAACAACUAAAAGGAUAAAAUUUCAAGACAAUCACAAAAAAAAAAUAUAAAUUUAUGUAUUUUUUUAAAAUAAUGAAAAACAUAUAAUAUAAUUUUAUAUUUUUUUUUAGAAAAAUAAAUAUUAUUAUAUAUAAUAAAAUAUAUUAUAAAUAUUAUAAAAAUAUUAAAUCAUAUUUGGGUUAGACUCGAGUCGUCUUAAUCUUAACUCGAUCUCAAUUAAAAUUGAGUUCGAAUUAAAAAAAAAUCUAAGUUAAGUACAACAUGAAUAUUGAAUAUGAUUAUUGAAACUUGUUCAAAUGUCAGGAUCCACAUAAAUAGCAUCGUUAAUAAAAAUACAAGAAGGGGAAGAAGAAAAAUAACAAAAAUGAAAAAGAUUACGAUUAUGAUUAAGGUUUAGUAGGUAUACACAAUUAAUUUUUUUACUUUUAAUAAACAAGGAGAAAAAAGGACGGAAAAGAAAAUGAAUGAUUAGGAUAAGUGGUUGGGUUUAAUAAGUAUACACGAUUAGUUUUAGUAGGUAUAUACUACUAGCUUUAACUUUUAAUAAAUUCUUUUAUCUAAAAAUGGAAACAAAGAGGUGCAAAAAGGAAAGGAGAAAGAGAAGGGAAAGGAAAAGGAUUAGGAUAAGGGGUGGAGUUUUAUAAGCAUACACGAUUAGUUUUAACCUUUAAUAAAUAUUUUUAUUUAAAAUUAAAAACAAAAAGAUACCAAAAAAGGAAAAGGAAAAUGAUUAGGAUUAGAGUGAGGAUUAUGGUUUAAUACGUAUACACGAUUAGUUUUAAAUUUUAAUGUAUUAUUUUAGUUGAAAUAGUUUGAGAUAUAUUUUCCUAAUUUUUUGAAAGGUGUGUUUAAUAUUCAGUUCUUUAAAUAAAUUUUAGUUUUUUUAAUCUAAUAAUAACUUAAAUAUUAAUGCAUUCAAAUUUACAGCAGUUAAUUUAGAGUUCGUUUAACAAUAUUUUUAAGAAGUGUUUUUGAAAAAAAAAAUUGUCCAUUUGUUAGUGAUUUGAGGAAGUAAUUCUAAUCUUUUUAACACUUGAAAUUUUUUAUUAUUUAAAUCUUAAAAAGAUUAGAAACAUUUUCUAUAAUUAUUAUCAAACACACUUUUAGAAUAUUAAUAAAUUACUUAUAGUGUUUUCUGAAAAAGUUUUCAUUCGAUGGGUGAUUUUCCUGAAAACGCUUAAAAAAAUAUUUUUAUUAAAAAUAUUUUAAUCAAAUAUGCACUCUUAGAGUGAGUUUAAUAGUGAUUCUAGAAAAUUUUACUAGUUUUUAUAAUGGUAGAAAGCGUUUAACAUUGAUUCUAAAAAGUGUUAUUAACUUUUCUAUCUUUCAAACAUUAGAAAAAUUAGAAAUACUUUUUAGAAUCACUAUUACGUUUGGCAAAAAGUGUUUUUAACUUUUCUAUCUUUCAAACAUUAGAAAAAUUAUAAAUACUUUUUAGAAUCACUCUUAUAUUUGGCAGUGAUUCUAGAAAAUAUUUUUUUGUCAUUUUAAUACUUUAAAUUUUUUAUCUUUAAAGUAUUAAAAAAAUUAAAAACACUUUCUAAAAUCAUCGUAAAACAUACUCUUAGAGCCCAUUUGGUAGUGAUUUUAGGAAACGUUUUUAAUAUUUCUAAUACUUGAAAAUUUUUAUCACUAAAGUGUUAAAAAUACUAGAAACGCUUUUUAGAAUCACGCACAAACAUCACAAGUGAUUUUUCAUAUUUUUAUAAACAAUUGUUUUUUCAAAAUUAAAAGCGUUUCCUAAAAUCACUAUCAAAUGGAUUCUUAAAAUGGGUUUGAUAGAGAUUUUAGAAAGUAUUUUUACCAUAUCUAAUACUUGAAAAACCACUAGCAAACAUACUAUUAGAGUAUUGAUAAUAAUUAUAGGAAAUAUUUCUAACCUUUAUAACACUUGAAAUUUUUUAUCCUUCAAGUAUUAAAAAUGUUAGAAACUUUUUCUAUAAUAAUUCUCAAAACACUUUAAAAUCACGUUUGAGAAUUAUUUCAGGAAGUAUUGAUAAUAUUUAAAUAAUAAAAAUUUUUAAAUAUUAAAAAAACUAAAAUCACUCCGUAUAACCUAAGGAGACAUGAUAGAUAGAAUCGGGUUAUUAUUAUUUUUAUUAUUAAAUUUAAAAUUUUAUUUUAAUUUUAUUAUUUUUGAGAGGAAGGUAGGAUUUGAAAAAGUGAUAAUGUUGUCCUUAUAUUUAAAAAGGAUGCCUUUGGUUUUUGAAGGCCAGGGGGUGUUGUGGACCGACGACUUGUUAAACUGUACCUUUCAAAUGUAGGGCUUUCAAUACCUAACAAGCAGCAAACCCACGCACUCUCUAAGUUCCAUUGUCCAUCGGAUUCACAACAUCUUGGAGAUAUGUCCUUUUUAUUAACUAUAAAUAAUUAAAUUUGAUCCCCAUUUUACAAUUUCAAAUUAUUUGAAAACAAAUAAUGACAAUGAAAAUGUUACUUAAUUAUGGGCCCAACUUAAUCUCAAAUCAAAAGAAAGUAUUUGGAACUACCCAGUAUAAAUUAUGUUCGAAACGUUUUCGAAAACUAUUAUAAAAAAAUAAUUUUAAAAAAUGGUUUUAUGAUAUUUUCUAAAACAAAAUUUUAUUUGAAUAUUUAGAAUAUGUUUGAUAAUUGUUUUAAAUAAUAGAAAACAAUUUUUUAUAUUAUUAAAUUUGUUUUUUAUUUUUUUGUUUUGAAAAAUAAAAAAUCGUUUUUGAAAACAGUUAUCAAACAAGUUUUUAGAAUUAAUUCAACUUAUAUCUCAUGUUUAUAAAUUUUUAAUUAUUUGAAAAUUACUUUUUUUCUGAAGGCUAAAUUAGUCAUUUAAUGCAGCAUUCUUACUGUAAACGAAACUAACGUUAGUGUAUCAAAUAGUAUUUGGAUUAAGGUUCGAGAUGAGGCCAAAAUGACAAAUAUUCCACGCAAUUAUUUCCAUUAAACAGAGAUUCAGGCGCUAGGGUUUAGCAUUAAGACAGAAAGUGAAGAGGAUAAAAGCCGAAGAAUGACGAAAAUACCCCUGUAAUAGCAUCCAACAAAAGGUUGAACUAGGAGAGCCGUGGCCAUGCAUGCCUCACAACAAGUAAUUGUGGAUGCCAUGUGCCAUUGAGCAGCUUUUGUCCUUACCCUCUAUCCGAACGCUUAGUCGUCACUGUGAGCAGUGACAGUGGCAGUUUCGUUGUUUUAUUCAAAUCUGGGGGUUAGUUUGGAGGUGGGCAUGCAUAAAAGCCGGUGCUCACCUCUUUCGCUCAGAGCAUCGGCAUCACCUCCACCGUUUCUCCCUUUUCUCUCUUCUUCUCUCUUAAACUUCGCUUCAACCAGACACUCCCAAUGAGAGCUGUGGCGUUUCUUUUGCUACUAUUGUGCGCCACCUGCCACAUUGCCUUAUCCUUCACCGACGGUAAGUGGCAUUUUCCUGGUUUACCUCCUCUUCUUCUUCUUCUUCUUCUUCUUCUUCUUCUUGAGAGCUGAUGGUGUCUCUGUUCCAAUGUUUUUAUCCUCCGUUGGAUUUGUUUGACUAACUUUAUUUUACGGUUGAGAUUAACGGUUAUUUGUACAUUAUGCAUUGGCACUAGGUUAGGAUCAAUGCUAGCGGUGGCCGGCAGCGCUGCUACUAGCUAGAUAAACUGACCAAAUUAACCCUACCUUUCAUGUCGAAUUCUAGUCUCAGGAAGGGGCUUAAGGGUCAUUUAGAUAGUCAUAAGUUGCAGAGGUUUCUGGCCGAGAUUCAAAAGUUGAGGGGCAAAUAUGCCUUUUUACGCUUCAAUAAUUUGAAUCUCUCGUACUGCUGCGGGGCAGAGGCGGCUCCACAUGCUCUCAGUAUGGAGAGAAAGUCUCAGCCGUCCAUGUGCUCAUAUUAAUGGCUCUGAUAUGAGCUGUGUGGGCCACUAAGUAUCUGUUUACAGUUCAGGUGAAUAGAAGUGUGUUAAAUGACAAUAUUGGCCAUUCUAGUCCCGCCAUAUGGUCGUCGGUCUCACCGUCGUAGCUUUCAGCUUCUAACGGCCUUUGGCCUGCUCGAUAACCGUAACGAAAACAUGGGUGUUAUCCUCCUUUCAAUUCCUUUGUCAAAUGUUUUCAAUUUCUUGCAAAUUUAUUGAAGCUAAAUUCCAAAUAAUACCCACUGGAAAACGCAGGACUAUUACCGAAUGGGAACUUCGAGCUGGGGCCGAAGCCAUCGGACAUGAAGGGAACGGAGGUGAUAGGCCCGCACGCCAUACCGGAAUGGGAAACAUCGGGUUUCAUCGAGUACAUAAAAGCAGGACAAAAACAAGGCGACAUGUUGCUGGUCGUCCCUGAAGGAGCCUUCGCAGUCAGGCUGGGGAACGAGGCUUCCAUAAAACAGAGAGUGAAGGUGAUCAAGGGAAUGUACUAUUCCAUUACCUUUAGUGCCGCCAGAACCUGCGCCCAGGAGGAGCGCUUGAACAUAUCAGUGGCGCCCGACUGGGGAGUCCUGCCUAUGCAAACUCUGUACAGCAGCAACGGCUGGGACUCCUACGCCUGGGCGUUCCAGGCUGAUUACGAUGUGAUCGAGAUCGUCAUACAUAACCCAGGCGUAGAGGAGGAUCCAGCUUGUGGACCGUUGAUCGAUUCCGUUGCUUUCAGGGCUCUGUAUCCUCCCAGACCUUCCAGCAGUGAGUUUUUAUGGUUUGAUUCGUUUGAAUGCAUAUAAGCAUAUUGCAUACUGCAUACACAUUAUUUAUUUUAUUUUUUUAACAUUUGGUACAAGUAUAUAGUAGUUAUGGCACUAUGGUCCCCUGCAUUAGGUCCCCCUCUUAUAUAUUGGACCACUUGUUUCGGAUUGGGGCUCAUCAUAUAACUAUUUGUGGGUAGGUUUGAAGGCCCCGUUUUCCGCUCUGCCUUAUAGGUAUUAGUCAAGGUUUGCUCAAAUCUGUGAAAUACUGUGAAGCCCAAUUAAAUUAUUGGGCUGAUCCGGUUUUGUUUUUUCACUCUUUUUGAUAAGGAACACCUUGUACAUGCAUUAUUGCAUUUCCAGGAGCUGUAAUAUGGUGCUCGAUAUCUCUCAUUUAUAACAUUUCAGACCCUUUUUUGAGGUGGGAUGAUCCCGCUUAUGUCGGGUAAUGGGUCGCCCAAAUAAUGACUCCUAAGGGUGUGAUGUAGAAUGUCAUAAAAGACACCCAUACAGGAAAAUAAUCGGUUUUUAGGUGAAAUGAUCAAAAUUUGGACCUUAGGUUGUCUCUAUGAAUCACACCCAACAAACAAAUUAAUGAGACACAAGUAUAUUUUUCGAGUGGCUAAACCUUCGUAUUCUUUCUUAAUUCAAUCAUCACAUACUUCUUUCAUUAGGGUCAUUUCAAUUUCACAUUUAGACCAAGACCCAUUUAAGACAGACAUAGAAAGUACGAGUCCGACGCCCAGAGAUCACAUUUUGUUAAAUACAUAGACACGAAGUUACCUAUAGGAUAUAGCUAUUGCUUUCAAGAGUUGUGUCAUUUAUUGGCCCAGGACUUAAGUGGUUGGCCCGUUGAAGACCUUGCAAGCAUGGUGACAAAUCGCCUUUAUGAAGUAGGCCAAAGGGUGGCAAAAAUGGCACACAUCUUCUAUGGGUGGAUAUGCAAGAAUCUGAUCAAUUAUGGUCUACUCUAGAAAAAGAAUAAUAAUAAUAAUAAAAGUUUAAGGAUCUAGCUUUUUGGAAUUAUUAAUAUUUUCAUGUCUUGAUCAUGCAGAGAACCUACUGAAAAAUGGUGGGUUUGAAGAGGGCCCAUAUGUGUUCCCCAACACAUCCUGGGGAGUUCUCAUCCCACCCAACAUUGAAGAUGAUCACUCUCCGCUCCCUGGUUGGAUGGUGGAGUCCCUCAAAGCCGUCAAGUACAUCGACUCCGACCACUUCUCCGUGCCGCAGGAGAAACGUGCGGUGGAGCUGGUGGCCGGAAAAGAGAGUGCCAUAGCCCAAGUAGCCAGAACCAUCCCUGGCAAAACAUAUGCGCUCUCAUUCUCAGUAGGAGAUGCCAGCAACUCCUGUGAAGGGUCCAUGGUGGUGGAGGCCUUCGCCGGCAGGGACACCAUCAAGGUGCCAUAUGAAUCAAAGGGCAAAGGAGGCUUCAAGCGGGCUGUUCUCCGUUUUGUAGCGGUAUCCAACCGAACCCGAAUCAUGUUCCUGAGCACAUUCUAUACCAUGAGGAGUGAUGACUAUGCCUCCCUCUGUGGACCUGUUCUUGACGAUGUGAAGCUGCUCAGCCUCCGCACUCCUCCUAGGCACAUCUAAGCCGGCGGCCAGUGUUGAUGCAAAUUAAAGGGGUGGUUUCUGUUUUGAAGCUCUGCAACUCUGCAGAAACAUCAGUUAUACUAGAAGUAUUUUUGCUAUAUGAGAAAGCGAGGUGCACUAG